rnacentral:lncRNA from 1 species
GGAUGAUGGGCUAGAGUUGAUGCUCUCUAAUGAUGGUGAAUGAGUCCCUUUUAUAGAAUAAGGGAUCGCUCCUCAGUACAUGAAUAAUGGGUUAGAAGUGAUGCUAGUGGUAAGGCGGUUGCUCAACUGGCGGCGUUGUUCUUUAACGAAUGUGAGGGAGUCUCUUUUAUAAAAUAAGGGCUCGCUUCUCAAUACAUAAGUGAUGGGCUAAGUCCCCUAAGUAUUUUUCAUGAGUGCUCUCUAAUGAAAGUGAGGGAGUCACUUUUAUAGAAUAAAGGCUCGCUCCUCAGUACAUAGAUAAUGGGCUAAGUCCCCUAAGUAUUUUCAUGAGGCCUAGUUAAGGCCCAAUAGAUGGUACAUAAUGUAGUCCCCCAAGUUUUCGGUCAAUAGAGUCUAUUAGCUGGAGACUUCAAAUUAAAUCCAUGUAUGGGCCGAAAUGGCAAUUGUUCGGAGGCGGUAUUUGUAUACACUGCACUGAAGCUUUGUAAGUGAAGCUUUGAAGCUGGAGCUCUGUAAAUGAAGCUUUUGAAGCUAGAGCUUUUAUAAAUGAAGCUUUUGAAGCUAUAGCUCUGUAAAUGAAGCUUUCAAAGCUAGAGCUUUUGUAAAUGAAGCUUUUGAAGCUGAUUGACAUAAGUAAUGCUCAUGAAUGUUUGAUUGACAUGAGUGAUGCUCAUGAAUGUUUGAUUGACAUAAGUGAUGCUCAUGGAUGUUGACAUGAGUGAUGCUCAUGUAUGUUGACAUGAAUGAUGCUCAUGAAUGUUUAUGUAUGAUUGAUAUGAGUGAUGCUCAUGAAUUGUCAACUAAAAGCAGCUAUGAGUAUUGGAUGGCUAGUGAAGUUAGGCUAGUCAACUUUCUUUAUGUAAAUUAGGCAAGUUAGGUAAGUUAGGCAAGUUAGGCAAAGUUAGGUCUUAUGUCUUCUUUCUUUCCCUAUAUAUAUGUUCAUCUUGUAAUGAGAAAUAAUCAUCUAAUAUAUCAAGGAAUUAACUCUAUUUUGGCAUGGUAUCAGAGCAAUUCUGAUCCAAAAAGAGUUUCUAUUCUGAUUCACUUACUUGCACUACUGCCAUCUACCCAAUAAGACCUGCUAUUCUGCAGGUCUUCUACUUUCAUACCAAUCCAAUCUUACUCUUUUUUCAUUUGGCCAUAUCUGCCAACAUUAUUACCCAUAUCCAGCUUGUUAACCAUACAUAUUCCGCUGCAUCUUUUCCCAUAUUCUUCCCAUUUGCAGUAUCUCUACAAAACCCAGAAAUCUUUCCACAAAAAAAAAAAUAUAUAUAUACUACCCAAUACCCCAUAAGCCAUACCCGUUGGAAUCACCCAACAAAUUUACCCAUAACCUCUGAGGCAGUAAUAAUGGGUGACUCCAAGACCACUGUUUCAGCUACUGUUACUCAAAGUGACAUGUCUCUACAUAUCACCCCAGACAAGUUGGAUGGGUCCAACUAUUCCUCAUGGUCCCAAAGUGUCCGCAUCUACAUCACUGGCAGAGGUAAAUGGUCUUAUGUCAGUGGAACAAAAAUGGCACAAGCAGAAGUUGAUGCAUUGUAUGCUAUAUGGGAGGAAGAGAAUGCCAUGGUUCAAUCUUGGUUACUCAACUCCAUGACCAGAGAUGUACGGGCCAUUUUUCUCCGACUCUCUACUGCAAAAGAUGUUUGGGAUGCUGUUACCCAAACUUACUCAAUUGAAAAAGAUGCAUCAAAGUUAUACGAACUUCGCCGUCAAGCACUGGCGACUCGCCAAAAUGGAGAACCUUUAUCUGCAUAUUAUGGUAAACUUCAGCAAACAUGGCAAGAAAUUGAUUUCUUGCGUCUUGGAAAAUUGAAGUGCGCUGAUGAUAUUGCUACCCGAGAGACAAAAAUUUCGGAAGAAAGAUUGUAUGAUUUUCUGGCUGGUCUUGAUCCUCAUUUAGAUUAUGUUCGCAGUCAAGUUUUGACUCAAACAACUCUGCCUUCUGUUCGUGCUGCUUAUGCUCUUGUGAAUGUUGAAGCAAGUAGGCAAACCAUUAUGUUGGUUGGCCCACAAGUGGAAGGAUCCGCCAUGGUAGCUGCUCCGUCUCGAUUUCCCCGUGGAGUCUCCAAUUCUCGAUUAGGUGGAUCCAAAACUACUGAUACAAGGAAGUGUACUUAUUGUGACAAGGAUAAGCAUACUAGAGACAUUUGCUUCAAGCUGCAUGGAUAUCCUGAUUGGUGGGUUCAAAAGAAGGAAAAUCAAAAGAAAGGCAUUGGUGGAUCACAAGCACACCUGACACUAACACCUUCCAUACCUCGGGUGGAUCAAUCUGCUCACUUAGUUUCUCCUACUACUGCUUCUACUUCCUUAGUCGAUGCAGGUAAGUUUCUCCUACUACUGCUUCUACUUCCUUAGUCGAUGCAGGUAACUUUGGUUUUGCCUUGAACACUACAAUUGUUCCUCCCAAUAAACCUUGGAUCAUUGAUUCAAGGGCUUCUGACCACAUGACCAAUAACUCUACAUGGUUUGUUUCUCACACUACUCCACCUUUAAAUACCGUUAAAGUUGCUAAUGGUAUUUCUACUCCAGUGCUUGGAGCAGGCUCCAUCUCAUUAACACCAGGCUUAUCUCUCUCAUCUGUUUUACAUGUUCCUAAUCUUUCUCACAAUUUGCUUUCCAUUGGUAAACUUACAAAUCAACUAAACUGUCUUGCCAUCUUUUCUCCUACCCAUUGUUGGUUUCAGGAUAUUCGAACGAAAGCAUUGAUUGGUCAUGGUAGAGAGAGGGGAGGUCUAUACUACUUGGACUUACCACCAGAUUGUGAGAAGACAAGUUACAGUUGUCAAGUGGAGGCCAAACAAUUUGAAGCUUCUGAAAAAAUUUGGUUAUGGCACAAAAGAUUAUGACACCCUUCCUUUCAGUACCUGCAAUAUCUAUUCCCUUCUUUAUUUUCUAAAGUCAAGGUUUCUGAUUUCCAUUGUGAAACUUGCAUUCUUUCUAAAAAUCAUCGUGUCUCAUUUCCUUUAAGUUCCCAUAAAAGUAAUGUUCCUUUCUCUCUUAUUCAUUCUGAUGUUUGGGGACCAUUUCAUAUUCCUACUUAUACUGGUGCUAAAUACUUUGUCUCUUUCAUUGAUGACUGCACUCGAGUUUCUUGGGUAUACUUACUCAAAAAUAAGAGUGAGGUUAUGUCUAUUUUUCCAAUCUUUCAUCAAAUGAUUCAAACCCAAUUUCAUGCUAAAAUUCAAGUUGUUCGAUCUGAUAAUGGGAAAGAAUAUUUGAAUUAUGGACUUGGAACAUUUUUUCAACAACACGGUAUCAUUCAUCGAACAUCUUGUCCACAUACUCCUCAACAGAACGGUAUAGCAGAACGUAAAAAUCGUCAUCUCUUGGAUGUGGCUCGCUCUUUAUGUUCUGCUAUGCACGUUCCUAAACGUUUUUGGGGUGAUGCCAUUCACACAGCUGUUUUUCUUAUCAAUCGCAUGCCAUCACGUGUUCUCCAAUUUCAAACACCUAUCCAGACCCUUUCCCAAUAUCGUUCUCUUCCUUCACUCCUUCAUAUUCCUCCAAAAGUGUUUGGUUGUGUCUGCUACGUUCACGUCCCCAUGCAAAAUCGUGAUAAGUUGGAUCCUAGAGCCAUCAAAUGUGUGUUUAUUGGCUAUUCUGCUACUCAGAAAGGGUAUUGAUGUUACUAUCCUCCCACUGGGAAAUUUUUUGUCUUUAUGGAUGUUACCUUUCGGGAACACGAGGCAUUUUUUUCAAAAGAAGAUUUGGCCACUUCUCUUCAGGGGGAGAUAUGGAGUAAGGAGGAAGAGAAGUUGCCGCUUGACAUUGAUGGUAUGCAUUUUUCAGAUGAACACUUGUCUGAUGUCGGUGAUGGUGCAAAUUUGCCUAAUGAUGAGGCACAAGGUGAAAAAAUAUUGAAGGUGUAUGAGAGGACAAGAAAAAAGGGAGAUAAAGAAAAAAGGGAUGAUGAGAUAGACCACCCAUAGACAAAUCCCCACAUUGACCAACUCUCUGACCAAUCAGCUGCUACUCGCACGAAUUAUCCUGAGGUAACCACUCAUUCUCCCUCUCUUCAACCUACUAUAUUUGAUGAGUCCAAUCAUGAGAUUUCAUUAAGUGAUGAUCCAAAUGAUUCAAAUGAACCACAUCGUGAGUCUCAGGGUUCUCGUUAUCCUAUUCGAGAAAAUCGAGGGAUACCCCAUGUUCGUUAUGGUCAUUCUUCUACAAAGGGUAUUCAAUAUCCUAUAUCUAAUUUUGUUUCAUCUCAUCGCUUGUCAGACUCUUAUAUAUCUUUUGCAAACCAAUUGUCAUCAGUCUCAGUUCCUAAUAAGUUACAGGAUGCUCUUAAAGAUCCAAAAUGGAAAAAGGUUAUGAUUGAAGAGAUGGAAGUGCUUCGAAAAAACUCCACUUGGGAACUGGUUGCACUUCCUGAAGGCAAGAAACCUAUUGGGUGUAGAUGGGUGUUCACAGUAAAGCAUAAAGCUGAUGGUUCAGUGGAAAGGUACAAGGCUAGACUGGUAGCCAAAGGUUAUACUCAAACCUAUGGCAUUGAUUAUCAGGAGACAUUUGCUCCGGUAGCAAAGAUCAACACUAUCAGGGUUCUUAUGUCAUUGGCAGCAAAUCUAGGGUGGCCUCUACGACAGUUUGAUGUAAAAAAUGCAUUUUUACAUGGAGACUUGGAUGAAGAGGUAUACAUGGAUCUUCCUCCAGGAUUCACUACCACUUGCGAUAUUGGCAAAGUAUGCAAGUUAAGAAAGUCCUUGUAUGGAUUGAAACAAUCACCAAGGGCAUGGUUUGGCAGGUUCGCUCAAUCAAUGAGAAGUUAUGGGUUUAAGCAAACUCAAGCUGACCAUACCUUAUUUCUUAAGCAUGAUAGAGGUAAACUUACAGCCUUAAUUGUUUAUGUGGAUGAUAUGGUGGUUACAGGUAAUGAUGUCGAGGAAAUUCAAAAACUUCAAAAGUAUCUAGCCAAGGAAUUUGAAAUGAAGGACUUGGGUACUCUGAAAUAUUUCUUGGGUAUUGAAGUUGCAAGAUCAAAGCAUGGCAUUUUUCUUUCUCAAAAGAAAUAUGUUAUAGACUUAUUAACUGAGACUGGGAUGUUAGCUUGUAAACCUGCAGACACACCAAUUGAGCAAAACCAUAGAUUGGGAGACUAUCAUGAUCAAGUUCCGGCUAACAAGGAAAGUACCAAAGAUUAGUUAAGAGGUUGAUUUAUUUGUCUCAUACACGACCUGACAUAGCCUAUGCUGUAAGUGUAGUGAGUCAAUUUAUGCACAGGCCAAGUGAAGCCCACAUGGAUGCUGUACAACGCAUUCUCAGGUAUUUGAAGUCUGCCCCUGGAAAAGGCUUGAUGUUUUCCAAUCAUGGACAUCAAGAAGUUGAAGGGUACACUGAUGCAGAUUGGGCUGGGUCAGUAACUGAUCGCAGAUCGACUUUUGGAUACUUUACAUUUGUUGGAGGAAAUCUAGUUACUUGGCGCAGUAAGAAGCAACAUGUAGUGGCUAGAUCCAGUGCCGAAGCUGAAUUUAAAGGUAUGGCACAUGGUGUGCAAGAAUUGUUAUGGCUCAGGACUUUGUUGAGAGAAUUAGGUUUUAAUUCUGCAAAGCCAUCAAAACUUUAUUGUGAUAACAAAGCUGCCAUUAGCAUUGCUCAUAAUCCAGUUCAACAUGAUCGUACUAAACAUGUUGAAGUGGAUAGGCACUUUAUUAAGGAAAGGUUGGUUGAUGGUACCAUUAACUUGCCUUAUGUGAAGAGUGAUGACCAACUAGCAGAUAUUUUAACAAAGGCAGUGUCAAGUAGGAUUUUCCAUCUUUCACUCAGCAAGUUGGGCAUUCGAGAUAUUUACGCACCAACUUGAGGGGGAGUGUCAACUAAAAGCAGCCAUGAGUAUUGGAUGGCUAGUGAAGUUAGGCUAGUCAACUUUCUUUAUGUAAAUUAGGCAAGUUAGGUAAGUUAGGCAAGUUAGGCAAAGUUAGGUCUUAUGUCUUCUUUCUUUCCCUAUAUAUAUGUUCAUCUUGUAAUGAGAAAUAAUCAUCUAAUAUAUCAAGGAAUUAACUCUAUUUUGGCAUGAAUGUUUAUGUAUGUUUGACAUGAGUAAUGCUCAUGUAUAAUAUGAAGUACUGAGUGUACUUUUGUCACCUAGUUGGUGGCAUGAAGGAGAGUACGGGUUGUACAUUUCAUCACCUGGUUGGUGGCAUGAAUGGCUAGUUGCCAAAUGAUAUUAGAGUAUGGGUUGUACAUUUCAUCACCUGGUUGGUGGUAAUAGCAGCGGGUUCCCGAAUAAUUUUAGAGUACUGUGCGUACUUUUAAUCACUUGGUUAGUGGUAAUAGCGGUAGGAUGCCGAAUAAUUUUUUGUAGUACUGGGCGUACUUUUGAUCUCCUGGUUUGUGCUAUUUUGGGCUUAUGGACCUUCGCUCUCCACACAAUAUUCCAGCCAAUUUAUUUUAAGCUUCGCCGUUUUUUUUUUAGCGUUAUUACCCUCUGAUGGGGUUUAUACAUAUUACCCUCUGAUGGGGUUUAUACAGAUAUCUCCGAAAGAUACGAAAAAUAAAUUACAUCAUUAAAAAAUAAGAAGAGUAAACAACAUCAUUCUGGUGGGGUGUUUAUUCCUUACUUUUGCUUUCUCUUUUACUUUCUCUUUUGCUCAUGCUUUUCUUGAUCUCCCCGUUCCUUCUCUAUCCACCUUGAUUUGUAAGGUAUCUUUUGCCAAACCCACUUGCUUUGGUCGUGCCCAUCCAUUAUCUAUGUCUCUGUCUUUUCCUUUUUCUAUUUGCUUUUCUGUUCCCCACUGCUUUUCUCUUCUUUUUUUUUCACUACACUGCAGGUUUAUAGCAUGGGUGAGUGCAUGGUUGGAGUUCGUGGAGGAACCGUUGGUGGUGCCCGUGCCACUGCUAGUGGAUGAUUGCUUUUGCCUGUUUUUUGAUGAUGGUGUCUAUUUCUUUUUCUCUUUUUGCUUUUGCUUUCUCUGUUCAUUGCACGUUUCUCUUUGUCUCUCCACCUCUUCUACUUUGUUGUAUGAUGAUGUGUAGUGAUCAGGAAAGUUCUCUCACCCUCCCAAGCUUUCAUUGUGCCAUUCUCAAACUCAAAAUCUAAGCCUCGUCCCCUCUAUGUAGUGCUUGCCCAUCCCAUCCCUACAUGGGCUUCAACAGCAUUCUGAAGAACAUUCUGCUCAGCCACUGGUUUCAUAAGAUUAAAUGUGGGCGAAGGCGGAGCAAAUGAGGGUGCCUCUGUCUGAAAACUGACCCAAUGACCAGAGUCCACAGUAGAAGCAUCAGACUCAUCACAUUCUGGUAUUGUGGCAGGUGUAAGAUGGUGUCGACGUAGACUUGAAGUCGAGGAUGUUCAUGAGACUCGUAGUCCAAGGUUUGGGCUACGUCCACACAGAUUGUAUUUAUUUGAGGGAGAAAGAGAGCUCUGAGAGUGAGAGCGUUGAGAGGGGGUGAGAGAAGCCUUAGGAAUUGGCAUCCCCCAAUUGUGAGGGUGAGGGGUCCUUUUAUAGAAUAAGAACUCCUCACUUAUUACAUAUUUGCCCAUUUCCUUAUCACAUAAUUACAUUUAAGUCCCCUGAGUAUUUAUACGAGGUCUAAAUACGAGGCCCUAAAUAUGGUAUAAACAAAGUAUAUACAAACAAGUUUGAUGGUUGAAUCCUUGAAAUUAGUUUCGUAGAAUGUGUUUCCCAUUAAGUUCAAUAGUAUAUAUAUUUACUAGGGUAAAAGACUGUUUACUACCCUCAUGUUUUGUGGUUUUCAACAUUUAGUACAUCAAGUUUUUUUCAUCCCAGAGUCAUACCUAAAGUGUAAAUUUUGGGACAGUCUCAUACAUCCGUUAGUCAAACUGUUAAGUCUCCAGUUAAGUGCUGACGUGGCGCCCAUGUGGACAAUGACUGGUCACCACGUGUCAUUAGAGGGUCCAUGUGGAAAUUAAAAAAAAAAAAAAUUGGUCGUCUUCAACCUCCGACCCUUCCUCCCUUAUCCCUCCAUUCUUUCCUCUGCACCAACCCACCAAACCAUUCCCCCUCCAUCUUCAAUUCCACCUAUCCACCCACCCAUUAAUUCCAAGGACAAUCGCCUAUAGACAGAUUCAGAGAGGGAGAGAGAGGGAAGACCACUACCCAAUAAACAAGCUCGGGAAAUGGACACUAGAGCAGCGGGAGUGGGUCUCAUGCGUGCCUGGCGGUGGCCUUAAUCUACAUCUUAUGCGUGUACCUGGUCCAAGGCUUCUACGUGGUGUUGUAUGCCUUGGGGAUCUACAUUCGCAACCUCCUUAUUGGGUUUCUCUCUCCUCAGGUCGACCCAGAGAUCCACAACCUCUCCUACUCCGACGACCCCUCCCUCCCAACCCACGGAUCCAAUGAGUUCCCCCCCUUCGUCUGCCGCCUUCCCGAUUUCAAGUUCUGGUAAUUUCCCCAUCUCACUGUGUAAAGUUGUCGCCUUUGCGUUUAAUUCGUGAUUGCCCUGUUUGUGUUUGUCGAAAUGCAUUCAAGUUAUGUGAAUCUUUCUCUGGGCGAUUGUCCUUGGAAUUAAUGGGUGGGUGGGUGGGUGGGUGGGUGGGUGGAUGGGUGGAAUUGAAGAUGGAAGGGGAAGGGUUUGGUGGGUUGGUGCAGAGGAAAGAAUGGAGGGAUAUGGGAGGAAGGGCAGGAGGUAGAAGACGACCAUUGUUUUUUUUUUUUUUUUUUGGUUUCCAAAUUUUUUUUUAAUUUUUAAUUUCCACGUGGACCCUUUAAUGACACGUGGUGCCCAGUCAUUGUCCACAUGGGUGCCACGUCAACACUUAACAGAAGACUUAACAGGUUGACUAACGGAUGUAUGAGACUGUCCCAAAAUUAACACUUUAGGUAUGACUCUGAGACGAAAAAAACUUCAUGUACCAAAUGUUGAAAACCACAAAACUUGAGGGUAGUAAAUAGAGAUUUACCCUAUUUACUAAGUAGAUUUUAAUUUAUUUAUUUUGUACUUAUAACACUUAAGAAAUUGAAUAAUAUAUAUGUAAAAAAAUUAUUGUGGGUUUUUGUUAGAAAAAUAUAUUAUUGUGGGGUUUAUGUAAAAAAAAUUGAAUUUGAAAGAAGUAGUCACACUUUGUUAGAAAAAUAUGUUAUUGUGGGGUUUAAUGUGGGUGUCGCGCAAAUGCGCGACGUCAAAUUGUAUACCUAUGUCGCUCCAGUUGUGAUAAUUUUGGCGGUGCAAUAGUGAAAAAUAGGCGCUUUUUUUUCUUUUCAAUUUUCCAAGUUUGGACCCUAACUCUUUCUUUCCUGUAGACCUCUCUUCCCUCUCACUCAUCUCUCCCUCUCUUUUUCCCGUAGACCUUUCUCUUCCCUCUCGGUCAUACCUCCAGAAUCAUCUUCCCUUCCUUUUUCCAACCCUCAAGUUAGUUUCUCCAAAUUCGUAGCCGAAUUUUCUCAACUUCAGAUCUAAGAAACGGUGAUUGUGGGUAUUCCAGGCAAUUUCCGACGAAGUCUGCCGGAAUUGGACCUCAACCAAGAGGUAAAAAUGAUCCUCUCUUCGUGGCUGUUCCCUAGUGUAAGAGAUUUCUCAAAAUAAAAAAUUUCAGUUUUUGGAUCGAUUCUAGAUUUAGAAUUUUAAUUCCAUUUUCUGUAUGCAUGUCAAAGAUUAGAGACGAGGAAGGUGAAUCAAGGUUGUUUCCAACCUGAGGCUGAGAAGAAUGGAAGCCUUGGAAGGUGCCCGCCUCGUCGGGGGUUGUGGCCACAACUGCCUUAAUCAAUGUUGCAUUCCAGGUAUUUGUGUAAAUGUCAUCCACUUUGAAUUUGAAUUUUUGUGCUUUAUCUUUUACGUACUUGAAUUGGUGGUUUGCAAAACAAACCUCCCUAUGUGAUAUGUGUAGAAUUAUCAGAGAGGCGGGCCAUACGGCCCACUUCCAAUAACACUGAUAUUGUUCCUAACUUGAUAAUUACCACCUGCACAAUUCGUCAGGUGUGAGGUUUUAUCACAAAAGACCUCGGUAUUAGUUAAAGUGGGGUUAGGAUAUUUAAACAAUUACUUUGCUUUUUGUAUGGCUGAUGUGGGAUUCAAUACACCCCCUCACGUGAGACCCAAUUAGUGGUCACACGUGGGAGAUCCACACAUCGGCAACCACGUGGAGCCAAGGGGACUCACCCUACACGCGAGGCCAAGGGACCCACCAUCAUUGUGCGGGGCCAAGGGGACCCACCCAUCAUGUGGUUGUAUAGUAUGGGCCCGCUCCCUGACUCUGAUACCAUGUAGAAUUAUCAGAGAAACGUGCCAUACGGCCCACUUCCAACAACACCGAUAUUGUCCCAAACUUGGUAAUUACCACAUGCACAAUCCGUCAGGUGUGGGGUCUUAUCACAAAAUGUCUCGGUAUUAGUUAGAGUGAGAUUAGGAUAUUUAAACUAUUACUUUUCUUUUUGUAUGGCCGAUGUGGGAUUCAACAAUAUGUUAUCAAGAAAUUGCUUCAUUUGUUGAUUUCGUGUUUUUCGACGGUUUGGGCGUUAUUUCUUAUCUGGGUAUUUGUCAGUUACUCGAUCUAUACGGAUUGGAGUAGGCGUGAAGCUUCUUUCUUUUUUUUUUUUUUUUUUUGGAUUUGAAGAAAAUGAUUUUAUGUUUAUGACUGGGUUGUGUACCGUUUUCGGUUUGCAUAGGUGCAAAACUUCCAUUGUAUGCCUUCAAGAAACUGAACGUGAAUGAUGGUGACACGGGUUUGCUCGGACAUGAGAAAAGAGUCUCCCGUUGCAUUUCUUGACACACUGCUUCUCAAGGAUGUAAAUUGAUAUACAGGAGAUGAAGAAAGAAUCACCAGCUUUGUUUGUUUCCUUUUGUAGUUAACAAUUAUUAUGGAAUAAAAUUGUUUACCACUCCAUGGUACAGUGGGAGGAUCGCAUGCAGAGAUGGCUAUUUCGCUAUGAUGUCGAGCUUAGGAACAAUGUGUAUGUAUAUGUACUACUUAUUUGGGAUAUGGGUACCAAUUUCUUUGAUAAUUUGGUGUAGGUGAUCCCAGGGCAAUUUGGUUUCAUAGCUGAGCUGAAUGAGGGUCGCCAUUUUAAGAAGAGGCCAACAGAGUUUCGAGUUGAUAAGGUUCUCCAGCCCUUUGAUGGCAGCAAGUUUAACUUCACUAAAGUUGAACAAGAGAAGGUUCUGUUCCAGUUGAAGCCAGCGAUGAUGGUGAAGCUCAGUGAGUAUUCCUUGCAUAUUUUUCUGUUUAACUGGACUCUAGCGUUUUCCUUUUUUCGUGAAAAUUGGACUCUAGCGUUAGUUGUAGGAAAACAACAUUCUUUCUUUUUUUACUACCCAAAUUGUGAGACCAAUGCAUGUCCAAGCUCCACAACACAAACCUUAUAAUUCUGAGAAAGUUCAAGGCCAUCAUCAACAAUUCAUAUGUCUUUUUGUCGAAAUUAUUUAUGCAUGUCUUGCAUUAUGGUUUCAAAACCCGCAACAAUCCACGCUCAAUUUUUCUAGUUGAUUCUAAAUUUUUAGUCUAUUUGCUAACGGUCAUUGUUACCAACAUUUGUGCAAAAUUGUAUAAGAGAUCAGUUAUCUACUCGCAAGUAUAUCACUUGUGAAAUGUUGAAACUCAUAAAUCUAUUUGCUGAAACUUUGAUCUACUUGCCACAUCAGUUUUUUGUGUGGAAUGUUUGAGACUCAUACUCACAAGUAUAUGCUUUUUAUGCAGGUGGUAGGAAAAAAUAAAACUGUAAAGGCAUACUUUUGUGUAUAUUUUAGUCAUUUGAUCCAUGUACUUUUGUGUUUGUAGGUAGAGAUAGCAAUUAUUGAGGUGUUCUUGCUGAAGUUUUUCGUGAUGUGAUUCGAGUUGAUUGUCCGAAGUUUUUGCAAUUUUGUUGAUCUGUAUGUGUGUUUGUGUAUAAACAUGGAGGUGUUCUUGUUGAAGUUUUUCGUGAUGUGAUUCGAGUUGAUUGUUUGAAGUUUUUGCAAUUUUGUUGAUCUAUAUGUGUGUUUUGUGUAUAAACAUGGAGGUGUUCUUGCUGGACUAGGAAGCAAGGAAGGUUUAGGUGAUUGAGAAAACAUCACCUAUACUUACCAAUCUGAGAGAAGCACAUUUCAGGCUUAACCCCCACCCCUUCUUCCCUGCUCUUUACAAUGUGGUAUUGGUUUGAGUCAUUAACUUGAAUAGAAAAUUGUAGGAUUAUAACCUGUCAUGUCCUUUACAGGCUAGUCACAAAAAGGUACAGUUGAUGAAAACACCUACGAGAUUGGGGAAAGGAAGUAGUGCUAGAUGUUGCAAUCCUGGAAUCUGGCUUGGAGAUGGAUAAUAAAGGUGACACAUCCACCAUGGGAGAGAUAUUAUCGAAACUUUUGCUUGUUAAAUAUUUUAGAAAACUUACAGUCGAUCUGCCGGUAGAGAAACUGUAACUGGAAUGUUAAAGACUCAUACUCACAAGUAUAUGCUUUUUAUGCAGGUGGUAGGAAACAAUCAAACUGCAAAGGCAUACUUUUGUGUAUAUUUUAGUCAUUUGAUCCAUGUACUUAUGUGUUUGCAGGUAGAGAUAGCAAUUAUUGAGGUGUUCUUGCUGAAGUUUUUCGUGAUGUGAUUCGAGUUGAUUGUCUGAAGAUUUUGCAAUUUUGUUGAUCUGUAUGUGUGUUUUGUGUAUAAACAUGGAGGUGUUCUUGCUGGACUAGGGAGCAAGGAAGGUUUAGGUGAUCAGGAAACAUCACCUAUACUUACCAAUCUGAGAGAAGCACAUUUCAGGCUUAACCCCCACCCCUUCUUCCCUGCUCUUUAUAAUGUGGUAUUGGUUUGAAUCAUAAAUUUGAAUAGAAAAUUGUAGGAUUAUAACCUGUCAUGUCUUUUACAGGCUAGUCACUAAGGGUACAGUUGAUGAAAACGCCUACGAGAUUGGGGAAAGGAAGUAGUGCUAGAUGUUGAAGCCCUGGAAGCUGGCUUGGAGAUGGAUAAUAAAGGUGACACAUCCACCAUGGGAGAGAUAUUAUCGAAACUUUUGCUUGUUAAAGAUUUUAGAAAACUUACAGUCGAUCUGCUGGUAGAGAAACUGUAACUGGAAACUUUUGUAAUUUAGUUUUUGUAUUUUUCUAGUCACCCAAUAGCCUGAUGUAUCAAACCUAGAAGAUUACUUCUUGUAGUUUUUUCUUUUUUGUUCGGACAUCUUGUAUGUAUAUUUUCAUAUAUUUUAUAAUUAAAUAUUUUUUCUUGGUUUAUUAAUUAUUAUUUAGAAUUUAAUUACAAUAUUUAUUAAAAAUAAAAUAAAAUAUUUUUGCCAAAAAUAAAAAAUAAGGGUUUGCGCGACGAAGGAGUAACCUACGUCGUGCAAAACCAUUUUGCAAGACGCAGGUCCCUACGUGGCGCAAAACACUUUGCGCAACGCAAGACCUACGUCGCCCAAGCCCACUUUGUGCGAUGUGGGUUACUUCUUCAUCACGCAAACCCUGUUGUCACUGCCUUGACGCAACGGUUGGCGCGCGAUGAAGGUUCAUUGCGCUAAUUUUUGCGCAAUGUUUUUAUGACUUUGCGCAAUGAAAGACCUACGUUGCGCAAAGUGUUUUUUGUACUAGUGCUUGUAGUUGAUGAAAAAAAUAUGGGAUAGAUGAAAAAAUUGGUGAAAAGAAACAAGUAUACAGUAAGAGAAAAUAGAGGCAUGAGUUCAAAAUAACAUAUAUGAAUCAAAUUUAGGGUGUGACUCUACCUUGGGGAUUAAAAUAAAAGUAAGAUUUUGAGUAAACAUAAUCACUAUUUCGAUAUGAUUGUAUAACUUAAGUUGAUAGAGUUUUGUAACAAUAGAUUAUAUGAAAGAUUAAAAUAAUAUUAUAGGCAACGUUCUAAAAGAUGCUAGGCACUAGUUGGCCGCGAAUUAGAGCCUAAAACCUAGGCACCUAAGCGGACUACACGGGUUUAAGUUUAUUUGUUAUCUAUAUAAUUUAAUUUAAUUUACUAUGUAAUCACAAAUAAACAUUGAAUAACAUUUUUUUUUUUUAUAAAGAAGAAUACACAUGUAGUGUAAGAGUUUUAAAUACAUAAUAGGGAGUGGACCUUUUUUUUUAACAAACGAUGUUAUCUAUACUAAAGAGGUAGGGGAUUGGGCUAAGCCUUACAAUGAGUUAGCAAUAAUUUGGUUCAAAUUUGUCUUUAGCGAGAAUCGAACCUGAGACCUCUCACUUACAAGUGAAGAUGAAUAUCACUAUAUCAUAAUACUAAGUGACAAUAUCGAGUGGACUUAAAAAAGAUAAAAUAUUACCCAAAAGUAAUAAGAGUAAGAAAAUGAUUUUUUUUUUGGGUUGUGUGGAUAGCACACCUCUUUUUACAUUUCACACACUCUUUAAUUUUCGGCCGUCAGAUCAGUUGAAUUGAAGAAGAUCAAAGGAUAAAAAUUAACAAGGAGUGUGUGAGAAGUAAAAAUGGGUGUGUGGAUAGCACAGUGUCUGCCUAAUAUGGUUUUCGAUUUUGUGUCCGACUAGUUGUAAAAUGCUACAAUAGCCGACCGUUUAGCGCCUAGGCACCUCCUGGGCUAAUUUUUAGAACACUGAUUGUAGGAGACUUUAUUGCAGCUAAUGUUGAUAGAAUCAGAGACCUAUUGUAUUCCUAAUAGUAAGUUAUCAAUAGGGUUAUGAGACUAUUACAGGUUCAUCCCCGCUAGUGUUUAAAAUAUCUACGAAAUUGUCGACAUUUUCAUUGAAAUAUCUAAAAAAUCAAGAAUCGAUGGAGGGUGAAAGGCAAACUUCAUCUAUAUUGGCAAGAUAGAGGAAAUCAAUUAAUACUAACGAUCUUUACCAAUUCACUAUAGAAAUUUUGUUGGAACCCAUUGCAGAGUUUGAAUUUUUUGAACUUUUUUUUCUCUAAUUUCGACUAAAUCUGUAUGAGUUGAUAUACCCGGUGUUUAAAAUACCGAUAUAUGCAAGAAAUAUCGUUAUUCAAAUUUAUGAAAAUAUCAAUGUAUAUAUUGAUAUCAGUUGUCUUCAAUAGAAAUUAUGGAAUUUUGUAAUAGGGUGAGUAUAUCAACUCAUUCUAAUUUAGUCGAAAUUAAAGAAGAAUCAUUGUCCCAAAAAUAUUAUAUUUAUUGAAUAUUUGUUAUUUGGGGGUUCCUAUUUUAUUUUGCCUAUUCAGUCUUUUUUUAUCUCUUGACGUAAUGACCUGUUUAACCGGUUAAGCAUUUCGGCAAGCGUUGUUGAUCCACGAAAGUUAGAACUAGAAAGUUGGGUUGGGCUUUGUUGAAAUAAGAUGAGUCUCCUCAUCUCCUAAAUUCAUGUCAUUUCCUCUAAACCCCAAGGCAAAAGGCAGAGGGCAACAGCAAAAGUUGGAACUAGGAGAGUGGGUUGCGCUUGGUGAAAUAAGGUAGAACCAAGAGAGUUGGGCCUCAGAGGAAAAAAAAAAAAAAAAGAUACUAGGUUUUAGGGUUUAGGGUAGACUAAAUUUACAAACUAAAUAAUGUUCUACCAAUAAAAAAUACACUUACGUAAUAAUUCAAUGGUCAACUUCCAUGUCUUUAAUUUACAAAUUUAGUCUCCUUAGCAUACCUAUUUUGGUCCAAUUAUGUGUGGACAAAUUUUCUCAAGCACAAAAUCGAGAUAGAAACCGGUUUACACAGUUCGGUUCAAUUUCCAAUCCGGGUUUGACAGGUUUUGGUCAACUCAGUUUUUCGCAGUUUCAUUUCACUUAGUUUGGUUCGCUUACUCGGCUCAUCAAUUUUUAUAUGAAUCCUUACGAGUAUUUAUCAAAUAUAGCAAAAAAUUAACUCUUAAUUUAAAAAAUGUCACUUUUUAUGAAAACUUUCAAAUAUAUCCAAAAUUUCACUUAAAUAGACACAAAUACCCUCAAAUUUAACAAUUAAAUAAAUUAAAGGCUUUUUAGCUAUUGUCGCCUCAAGUUCCGGUCCAACUUCACCUUCGUUUCUACACUCCACCACCACAACCCUAUCCCCUUCGACCUCCUCAUCACCGACAUUAAGCGCCGCCGUGGUUACCGCAAGUGAGAGCAGCAUAAUUUCAAUAAUGCCUUCAACACCUUUUUUCUUACUAAUAUCAUUUUUAGUUUUAAUUAUAAAAAUAGGUUUUGAAGUUAAUCCACAUGUCAUUAUAUGAUUGUAUUUGUGAGACCCACGUGGCGCCACAUCAUCACACUAACAGAGUAAUUGACAAAUUUUUCACAAAAAAAAAAAACUAAAAUGAUCACAAUGGACAAAUUCAAAGAAAGACUAAAAUGAUUCAUGAUAGACAAAUUCAAGAACACUACUAUUGAUUAUCAUUAAUUGUUAAGGACCAGAUUAAGGAGUUAUGUUAAUGUCACAAAUCAUUUUGGCUAAAAAGUCUUUAAUAUAUUUGAUUUUUAAAUUUGAGGGUAUUUGUGUCUAUUUAAGUGGAAUUUGGAUAUAUUUGAAAGAUUUUAUAAAAAGUGACAUUUUUGAAAUUAAAGAUUAAUUUUUGGCUAUAUUUGAUAAUUACUCAAUCCUUACUCUCUAUCAAAUUUUAUUAAUAAGAGGUAUGAAGAAAAAAUAUGUUUAUGAAGGAUUUUGCCACAACAAAUUUUCUUUUCUUGACCCUCAAAUCAACUGUGUUAUUAAAAGAGGGACCUGAUCAAGAGAUAUGGAUCCAAUCCAAAGGGUCAUAUGCUAAAAAAACAAGAAGACGAAGUGACCAAUUUAGAAUAAUAAAAUGGACGGACGGACUAGAAUAAAGAUAAAAUCCAUUUUUGAAACGAUGCUUCCAUACAGGGCGAAAACGAGGCUAAAGUUGUAACAGAGUAACACAAAGAAUCAUUGCUCUACAUAGUGGUAUGUUCAAGGAUCAAUACUAAUGAUUUUUUUAGUUCAAGCAAAACUCCAAUUGGAUCAUAUAUCAGGAGUCAAUGAUCCAAUUUUUUAACCUCUACUUUUAUUUAUAUUUAAGUUGGUUGGAAAUUGAUUAAUGGAAAGCCAUAAAAUCAUUUGGUUUAUUACUUACAAAUUUUCAUUUUCAGGUCGAUUAUGUAACUUUACGUAGACAAAAGAAUUUGAUCACAUCAUUUUAUCGCAAUAUUUUUGGCUAGCUCAUCCUUGGAAGAAAUCCUAACUCCACUCUUGGCCAGGACUAGCAAAAAAAAUUUCUUCUCGGACGUUUAAAAUUUAAAUUGAUAAACCAGUGCCAUUAUAUGUAACUAAAUAUGUUGAAUAUUUGAGAACUAAAAGCUUGUUAAGUGGCAACAAAUUUUUAGGAAGUUGUUUUAUCAAACUAAACAGUACGUCAUGCAUUUCCAUAUCAUGCAUGAACAAGAAUCCCUAUUACGCUGUGUUUGCUUCAAAUUCAGUUACAUUAAUUCAAAGUAUUUCAAACGCUUGACAAACAAACAAAAAAAUAAAUUUCAAACGCGCUCAUAUAUAAUAAUGGAAUUUUGAGGAUUAAUUGGUGACCGUGGAGAGAAGCCUUCCCUAUCCAAUUGCGGAAAGCAUAUCUUUCUUUGCGGUGAAAAGUAGAGUUCCCAAAGAGGAUAAGUCUAUGAAUUCGGCGGCUUGCGGAGUGUCUUUAUUCCAUAUUCUUCCUUUGGAUAACCCUCCUCAUCCUUCAUCUCAUCACCCUAACUUUUGGAUAACUCUCACACUAAUUUCUGGAUGACCCUCACCCUUCUGAGAGUUUUUAAGGGUUUAGUAUUUACAAUUUAUAUUUGAAUUUCAACUAUUUCUUGUUUGCUUAUUUGAAUUUCAACUAUUUCUAGUGACAAGCAAACAUAAUGUUUACUAUAUAUAAUAUAAGCAAUAACGAAAAAUAGUGACAAGCAAACAUUAUGUUUACUCUAUAAUAUAAGCAAUAACGAAAAAUACACUCUGAGAGAAAACACUAAUCAACAAUGAAAUACGCGUAAUUUAUUCUACAUGUUUUUGCUUGAGGUAGAUUCUUAUGCGUCCGACGAUAAAGGUUUAUUGUUCGAUAAUGAAUUGAACAAACGAUUAUGAUCAUAUGGUUUAUGGAUUGAACCGGACCAAAGAAAGUAUGUAAUAUAGUGUGAUAGAAUGGCAGAAUCUUAGCCUUAAGGAUAUGCCAAAAAUGGAAUCGAUCGAUAGUAUGCCUUAAAACUUGCAAUAACAAGACUCUUUGUGCGCACUGAAAGUGAGUCGAGUGGGAACCUUGACAUGUUGAUAUUAAUAUGACAAGACUUUUAGCACUGAGAAAAUGAGUGAGGUCAAAGUGUAAUAUAGUUAGUGACAAGAUGAAUAAUUAGGGGGAAGCUAUGGGGGUAAUGACAGGUGGAUAUUCACCGCCCAAUGAUAUUUGAUCAUGCAAAAUAUCCCCGAAGAUGAGCCGACUACGUAUUCUAAGAUAAGGCCUAAGUGGCCAGGGAGUCUCCAAAUCUGCAUGCUUCCUGGCAACUUGCAUGCCUGCAUGCCUAAUCCCUGACGCCACCCAUACGUUAAUAUUUUGGUGACAAGUUCAUCAACAUGGUGCUACUCUAUGCAGAUGUAAAUACAUGGCCCCUAUCCGUACUUGGUUAGCAUCCACGAAUAUUUAAGGACAGAAACUUAAUGACUUAGUUAAGUAAAAAGUAUUGUAACAAAGUUUUGAUUAAAUAUUCGAAUGCAUUUUUUUAAAGAAGUACCUGGCAAGUGUGUUUCCAUAAGGAAGGAAGAAUUAUUUUGAAAAUUUUAGUCAUUGCCACAAGCACUUUUAAUUCCCAAAUUUUGGGUGUAUAUCCACGAUUAAUUAUAAUUAAUACUUUUGGAAUGAAUCCAUAUCAUUUGACUACUACACCCGAUUUGCGUGAGGCAUCAGGAACGCACACAAUUAUCGUGAUUUGGGGAACAUUUUAUUCGUUUAUGCAUCUCACAGAAAACGGCUUCAUGCAUGAUAAGACAUGCCAACAUGCAUGCAUGCUUAGACCUUACUCCUUCCCUAUAAAUAGUGGCAUUGGAAGUCGUUUAAGUUCAUCCCAAGGUCAGCUCUCUCUCCCUCUCUCCCUCCCAACCCAAAUUGUCUUUGUGGGUCUCAACUUUUAAGUUCUUCCAUUAUCUUUCAUUUGCCUUGCAAUUAGUUGUAAUAUUUUUAAGUUUUGUUGCUAUAUAUAUAUAUAUAUAUUUGUAGAUGGAGGAGGCAUAGGUGAAUUUGCUGACAGAAGAUAGAGAGCACAGAUGAGGAAAUGCAAAAACAAGGCAGCAUCUCCAUCCUUUGUGCUCUCUAUUCUUCUGUCAACACCUUCAGCCCCUUACCUUCCCUAUUGCCUUAUAUAGCCAUAUGAUGCCUUUCUAUAAUCCAUAUUAAUCGUCUAUCCAUUCUGUCUGAACUUCCGAGAUGAACAAGUAGUACUAACAUAUAGAGUGCAUCUCGAUUGAUAAAUCUUGGAAAGCAUGAAAUAAUUAAAUAUACGUAUAUAAUACAAACACACACACACACACACACACAUAUAUAUAUAUAUACAUACAUAUAUAGUGUGUGAUGUUUUUUGCUUCCGUACGCAUGGUUUGUUUGCUUAUUUCAGUCCUUUCAGUCAUUGCACAACAACAGCAUGAUUGAGAAUUUCCCCCUUUUUUUACUUUCCUCAAAUAUAUAACGGCUGAAUUCCUAUCUAGGGGCCCAACUCGGACGGGUUGGGCUGGUUGGAAGGUUAACUCAAUCUUGACCUAACUUUUACACUUCAGACUCGGGUUUAAUUGGGUUAGGGUUUACUUGGGUUGGGUUUGGGUUGCCCAAUUUUUUGAAAUUUAAUCUUAUAAUAACUUAGUUUCUAAGAAUUUCUAAAAAAAUUAAGCCAAGUAGCAUCAAAACUAGCUAACUUUAAUUUCAUAAAUCAAUCUACUAUAAAGCUUUAGGAUUUAGAGACUACGAAUAUGGGGUGACUAAUCAAAGUGGAUGAGGAUCCUCUCCGAAUCCUCUUUCUGGGGAUCCUAGGAAUCCUUAUAUCCUAGCCGUUCAUCGUACAUCGUGCAAUCAGUUUUCAUCAGGUACUAUUUGUGUUUAAUUUUAAAUAAAAAAAGUUAAAUGAUUUAUGAGCGCACGAUGUAUGAUGAAUGGCUAAGAUAUGAAGAUCCAUAGGAUCCCCACAAUUUGGAUCCAGAUGGGAUUCAAAUCUAAUCAAAGCCUCUUAUUCUCUAAAAGUUUAAGUAAUUAUAAAAGGUAAUUUAUUAAAAAGGUAUUAGAAAGGCGUUGGUUUUGGAUUUGGCUCACUCACUUGGGUGUACUAUGAACAUUAAUUGAUAUGGGUUACAAUUUGGUUAGAUUGGGUUUGGUUAGUUGGGCUAGGUUGGGGAUGGACAAGCAAAUGAUCAACUCAAUCAAUGAACGGAUUGAAAUUGAGUUGGGUUCGGGCGGGUUAUAACUGAAAAAAAACCCACUUAUUCAUGUUUAAAGUUGGGUUGGACAUGGAUGUGUUCGGAUUGGCCCAACCCUUGCACUCUUAAUACUAUCCCACUUUAUCCUGUUUGCAGUUUAAAUUGGUUAUGUGGUGACUUUCUCAUUCUUUAAAUUAUUAAAAAAAAGGAAAUUUUGAUUAUAAAAUUAAAGAAAUAUUCUUUUUUUAUUCUUAAUUAAAUAAUAGGGAUUAUUGGAUCUCAAAAUUAUGUCAUAUAUCAGUCGGUCCAAAAAUAGAGAAGCAGAAGUGCUAGCUAGGCUUUGAUGACAGAAGAUAGAGAGUACAGAUGAUGAAAUGCAAGAACAAGGCAGCAUCUCACUCAUUUGUGCUCUCUAUGCUUCUGUCAACACACCUUCAGCCCUAUGCCUCCUCCUUUUAUAUUUAUAUCUGUUGACAAUAACUUCGUCCUUUUUUGUUCUUUAUCUUCUGCACCAAGGAGAGAUAAGAAGUAUGUCACGGAUACACCGUCACGUUCUAUACCACUUAACAUGUGUUAGCUUUAUUCACGAGCCCUUAUUUGGUGCGAGAUGCCGUCAUAGCAGUGUACUAGUUCCAUACAAGUAACCCUCAAGAGACAGACCACAAGGGUCCAUCAGCAAACCACCAAUCAAUGCCACCGCGCAGACCAGGCAACAAAGCACCAAGUACCGAAAAGAUAACUGAAAGUAACAAAACAAAGCCAACAGGCAGAUCCGGGGUUUAUCCUACUCCUAAGUCCUAAGAGUGUAAUUCCAAAGGACUUGACUUUUGUACUUAGAUAAGAAAGUACUUCUAUCCUUUAAAAGAAAGUACUUCUACCCUUUGCUUUUUUGCUAUAAAUUGCUACUUAAUGUUUUUGUUUUUUCUUUUCUUUUUUUUUUUUGGAAAACUUAAUGUUUUACUUAAUGUUUUUGUUUUGGAUAAACAAUUGACACUUGAUGUUAGAACCAUAUUGUUUACAUUCUUGAUUGCUAAGAGAUCUGACUAACAAGUUCUAUUCUAUUUUAGCGUCGAAAUGUUCAUAGAGAAAAUGAAGAUAACAUAAGCAAAAAUUAACUAAAACCAAUUCAAGAAAACAAAAAUUUGAGCAUAAUUAAAUACAAUGCUAAAAAUUAUCGCCAAAAAUAAAAUAAAAUAAAAUCUAGCAGUCCUAUACAAGUGGAGGAUUGCCAUAUUAGUUAGGGUUCUCUAUGUCUCAAGUUCAAAUACUCUCCCUUGUGUUAGAGUAAAUUAGUUUAGAAUAUCGUUUCAACUCAAUAAAACAAAUAAUAAUAAUUGCAAUCCAAAUGUAGACACCGAUUAUAGCAAAAGAUGCAUCACGAGAAUUCUACUUAGCCACUAAAGAGGUCGCUGCAAAUGCUAGCCAAAUUUAAGAAAAAAAUUUCAAUGUGCCGAGAACACGGCUCGUUACACUAAGUGUUAUAAUAAAAUUUGUUGAAUAUUUAUUUUUUAUUUUUUGAAUUUCUAAUUAAUUAUUUUAUUACACUUGGUGUAUCCAAACACACAUCGGGUUUGGGUCUAGUUGCUAACUCUACUACUUAAUAUGACCCAAUUAAGUUUGGGUUUUUAUUUCAACUCCUUUUCCUUGUAUGCAAAUUGGGGUAAUAGUCGUCUAAGACAUUAUAACAAAAUAGGGAAAUUUUAUUUGAACCUAUAUAACCUCUUUCUACACCCAACUUAAACUUUAAAAGUGAAUUGUCUUUUUUACACUAUAACAUAAUUACCAUUAAGUACAAGAUAAAAUAAACAAUAAAACUAAAAUUUAUUAAUAAACACACACAGAGUAAUCAAACACUCCAUAGUAUUUAUCCUACGUUCACCCUCCAUCAAACUAGUUGUGCGGAAAAUGCAACCCCCGAAUGCUUGGAAGAUGUUGGCAAAUAUUGUCUGGUAAACUGCCACUUAAAUUGUAUAGGGUUAGAGUCAAAAUUGUUAAAGAGGACAUGUUGAAGACAACAACAAGAAUAUGACCGUUUAGAGCAUUAGCAUGCACAAACAACCACUCCCCCUUUUACUGCCAAUCAAGAUUAGAAUUCCUGAGAAACCAACACAUACGUGAUACGUAUAUGUAUUGGAAUGGUUUCUUUAAAGAUUCAAGUCGUUGAAAUAAAGCUAAUCAACUUCAACAUGUGUAGAUGAGACAAUUCCGGUGGCAAGGUACCACCAAAAUUGUUGUUUCUGAAUUCCAGCUCAACAAGAAAUGGCAGGUUGCCUAGGUGGGGAUUUGAAGAGCAGCCUGGUCUGUGCUGAAGUUGGCUUGUCCUGCUACUGAACCUAUUUUUAAGAUAGGUAUGUAUAUACAAGAGUAUUGAACCAGUAGCAACAAAGUUGUCAACGAGGGGAAACGAGUUAUUGCCAUUGUUGUGCGCUAUGAACCAAGAAAUUAGAAGAAAUAGGAACUCAAAAGUAGUCUUUUAAUCUAUUGGGCAAAUGAAUUUUUGGCGACAAUUACAUAUUGUCAACCCGGUAAGUUUAAAAGUGUAAUGAAUUUUAUGGUUUUUAAUUUUUUGAAUGGGUGUAAAGAUAAAUUUACAUAUUUGAUUGGGUUGUGAGGGUGAUUUAGGUAGUAAAUUUGGGUUUAAAGAGAUAUCAAUAGUUUAAUUAAAAAUUAUAUGGGUGUAGAGAGUAAGUUGGGUGUAAUAAGAUGUUAUAUGGGUUCAAAUAAAAUUUCUCAAAAAAAUAUUAGGAUGUACUAUCCACAUACCGAUUUUUACUUCUCACACAUUCCUUAUUAAUUUUUGUCUUUUAAUAUGACUGUCGAAAAUUAAAAAAAUGUGUAAGAAAUAAAAAGAGGUGUGUGGAUACCACAUCUCAAAUAUUGAGUGGUCUAUUGAGCACUUUACUGUAGAUUUUCAACUAAGAGUAUCUCCAAUGCAAAUGUCUAAAAUUAAAUGUCAUAAGUAAAUUUGAAGAUUUAUGUGGUAAUGUCAAACUUUUUUGUGCUCCAACCCAUAUUUUUUUUUUUAUCCAUUUAAUAUUUGUAAGACCCACUCUUCAAAACAAAUAAAUAAAACUAAUUUUCAUAAUUUAUGAUUGGUGCAUUACUAGGAUUCACACAACAAAACAUUUAAAAAAAUAAUUUGACAUCAAAUUUUCUCAUAUGUCAAAAUUGGCAACACACGAUACAUAUAUCAAUCCACAUAGGAUUGACAUAUCAGUUAGAGUUUCUAUUUGCCUUCAAACUUUAUAACGUGGCAUUUCACUUAGCAUUUGGUAUCUCUUUUGAAGAUGGUCUAACCAGAAUAUUAAAAUGCUAAGUUAUAUAAAGAAUUAAAUCGAAAAGAUGAUAAAAUCAUUAUCAUCUCGUGUUGAGAUUACAUUAAACACUACUCAAAAUUUCGGGUCAGUAGGGCAUACCCCCACCUGUAAUAGUUGUGCAGACAAUCGCAGCUAGUUGUUUCUAAAAAUUUCUCAAGUUUAAUUAACAUAAAUAUAUAAAUAAUAAGGGCGGUUUAGUUGGGCCCAAUACACGUCGAGUCUUACUUGCAAAAUGUGUAGCCGCAUAUUUUGAAACCCAUAUUGUUUUGUUGCCCGGUGGUUUAGCCUCCCCCAAGAUGCGCUAGCUCUUGCACAUCAAUAAGUCGUAAUAUUUACAGGUGGCUACUCGACGAACAUAGUCCACUAGAAUUACCCAUUAAUCUUCUUGCAUAUGUUCUUAUCAGGGUUCUAAAAAACGCUAGAUUCUAGUCGGACGGCGGGCUGGCGCUUAGCGCAUAGACGGCUAGACGGGGUCUAGACGAGUGCCUAGACAGAUUUAUGUAAAUUUCUUGUAUAUCUGGUAAAUAAAUGCAUAUUGAUACUUACAAAAAAUUAUACUUGUAUGAAAUUCAUGAAUAAAAUAAUAAAAGAAUGAUAAAAUACAAAAAAAAAGUUAUCUAACAAAUCCAAAAUUUAAAAACAUAAUAAACAUAUAUGCCAUAUAACUUAAGACAUUUUGAAUGAUUAUAUCUAAUUUUUAAAAUAUAAAAGUAAAAUCUAAUUUUUAAAAUAUAAAAGUGAAAAUCCCACGGUUGGGUGGUUCAAAAUAAGAGAAGGUGCAUGCAUCCUUCCCCAUUUAGCACCACGUGUUGUGUGACCCCUCCCCUAUAUCUCUAGUCUCUAUCCUUCACAUCAGUCGAGAGAGUUAGAGACUUCCAAGGCCAUUUUAAAGCCUUGAAAACCGGAAUUUUUGUUUUUUUAUUCUUUCUUUUCCCCAUCAUAUUCGUCUUCUUUCCGUUUCAUCUUCAUCUUCUUUUUCUUUCCAUUUUUCCUCUAUAAAUUCUCCAUUUUUUUUCCUCUUCAGCUCUUCUGCUUCUUCUUCGACGAAUGUCAGAGAGACGGAGUCGAGACAGCUAAGAAAGUCGUGGUGCACAGAGAGAGGGAAUCAAAGCGGUGAGAAAAGCUUUUAUGAUUUUGGGUAUCUAUUUGAAAUUUCAUCCCAGAAAAUCAUCUCACUCCGCCGGGACCGCCGCCUAAACAACCGCCUAGACCGCCCAACCCGCCUAAGAGCUCCUAGGCGGGCGCCUAAUAGCUCCCUAAUUUUUCUUAACGAUUUGGACCUAAUCGCAUCGGCACCACCACGCCUAGCGCCUAGGCGGCCGCCUAGGCCGAUUUUUAGAACACUAGUUCUUAUGUGCCACAAAUUCUUUAUAUUAUAUUAAAAUAUGGACAUUUCAGCACAUUAGUCAGUAAAAUAUAUUAUGGUACGAACAUUUAGGCACUAAUUAUGAAGUUAAACAAAAUUAAUAAAUUACAAGUAGCCCUCUACCACAGUAGUGGAGAUGAAUGUUGUCAUUGCACCACUGAGUAGGUUCGAAUCCCAUCAGCUCUCUAAUUUAAUAUCUACAACAACAAAACCUUUUCCCACUAAGUGGGGUUGGCUAUAUGAAUCCUAGAACGUCAUUGUGCUCGGAUCUGUAUCAUGUUAUCCGUUAGAUCCAAGUACACUAAGUCUUUUCUUAGAGUCUCUUCUAAAGUCUUCGUUGCACAUGUCCAAACCACCAUAACCGAUUUUCUCUCAUCUUUCCUUCAAUUUCGACUACUCCUAGUUUAUCUCGGAUGUCCUAAUUCCUAAUCUUAUCUUUUCUCGUGUGCCCACACAUCAAACGAAACAUCCUCAUCUCCGCUACAUCAAUUUUAGGUACGUGUUGAUGCUUCAUUGCCCAACAUUUUGUUCCAUAUAGCAUCGUCAACUUUAUUGUCGUCCUAUAAAUUUUCCCUUGAGCUUCAUUGACAUACGACAAUCACACAACAAUUCGGAUGCACUCUUCCACUUCAUCCAUCUAGCUUGUAUUCUAUGGUUGAUGCUCCAUCUAAUUCUCCGUUCUUUUGCAAGAUAAAUCCUAGGUAGUGAAAGCAGUCGCUCUUUGGUACUUCCUAGUAUCCGAUCCUCACCCCUAACUCAUUUGAGCCUCCAUCUGCACUGAACUUGCACUCUAUAUAUUCUGUCUUUGAUCAACUUAGGCGAAGACCUUUAGAUUCCCAACACUUAUCUCCAAAGGUUAGCUUCGCAUUUACUCCUUCCUGAGUUUCAUCUAUCAACACUAUAUCAUCUUCGAAAAGCAUACACCAAGGAAUAUCAUCUUGAAUAUGUCCCAUUAAUUCAUCCAUUACCAAUACAAAAAUGUAGGCACUUAAAUAUGAGCAUUAAUGUAACUCGACAGUUAUAGGGAAGCUUUUGGUUUGUCAUUCAUGAGUUCUUACAGUAGUCUUUGCUCCAUCAUACAUAUCCUUUAUAGCUUGGAUAUAUACUACUUGUACUAUUUUCUUCUCUAAAAUCCUCCAAAGAAUGUCUUUUGGGACCCUAUCAUACGCUUUUUCCAAAUCUAUAAAGACCAUAUGUAAAUCCUUUUUCAUAUCUCUAUAUCUUUCCAUCAAUCUUCGUAAGAGAUAGAUUGCCUCCAUGGUUGAGUGCCCUAGCAUGAACCCGAAUUGGUUGUCCGAGACCCAUGUCUCUUGCCUCAGUCUAUGAUCAAUGACUCUCUCCCAUAGCUUCAUUGUAUGACUCAUUAGCUUAAUACCCCAAUAGUUCAUGCAAUUUUGUACGUUGCCCUUAUUCUUGUAUAUAGGCACCAAAGUGCUCUUUUGCCACUGAUUUGGCAUCUUCUUCAUUUUCAAAAUCCUAUUGAAAAGGUAUGUGAACCAUGCUAUACUCGUCUCUCCCAAGACUUUCCACACUUUAAUCGGUAUAUCAUCUGGGCCCACUGCUUUUCUAUGCUUCCUCUUUUUCAAAAGUACAACCAUUUCUUUCUUCCUAAUUCUCUAAUUUAAUAUCUAAUAUAACAAAUCUAUCAUUUGGGCAUGGCAUCGUUGAGACGUUGUAUAGAGAUUUAUGCAUAGUACAUGAUUAACAGGAGAGUAUUGCAAACAGGUAUUUGAAUGAUCGAGAUUACGAUGUAGCAAAAUUGUGUGCUAUUGACAUUGUCACCCAAGAGGGUAGUACGUGAGCGUGAUUAAGGCAUUAUUCUAUUAAUUUAUGCGUCUUUCCUAAUGGGGGCAAGAUGAUAAUAUUACACCCUCGGGAAUUUGUUACUUACUUAUUGGGACAACAAUGAGUUGUUGGUAUUGCAGGCUAUAGACCGUAGUAUCAAUAACUUAUUCGUUGGGUUCGUUAAGUAAGUGGACAAUUAGGCCUGUCUACGUUAGUAUUUUUAUUUAUUUAUUUACUUAUCUAUUGUUUGGGCUUGACCUACAGAUAUUACACACAUAUCUUCUGAGUAUGUGAUGCUAGGAGUGCGUAAGUGAAAGUUUUCUACGUUCGGUUAUGAUUUCAGUAGAACUAUUUUAACUUUACUUUAUUAAAUACGUAUUUUGAUGUUACGUUAUUAUAUAUCUAUUUUUGACUUUAUGUUUUUAUAAAAGUAUUAUACUAUAGUAUUGUACUGAAGGAGAAUGAAAGUUUGAGUUUGGAGGCAUGAAGAGCAGUCUUUGCAAUCCGAUCGCGACGGAACGACAUUCUCUUUUAUGCAACCGCUCUUGCUUGAUUUUUUCUUUAUAUAUAUUUUCUUCCCAUCUUUUAAGUAUUUUAUUUAUAGCAAGUUAUUUCAAAUUUCGGGGACGAAAAUUUUUUAAGGUGGAUAGAUUGUGACAACCCGUCCUUAAUUUUACGAAUUUAUUAAUUUUAAAAUAAUGAAUUGACAAAUAUGCCCUUAAGGAAAGAUUGUUGACUUUAGUUGACCAUCUUUUAGUGACACGUAUGUGCUAUUAGUUUAUAGUAUUCUUAAAGUACUCGACAGUACAAACGCGUAGGCACAAGUAGAAGCGAAUUUGGAGUUACGGUUAAAAUUUUACAAAACUAUGUACGUGAAGGGUAUUUUGGUAAUUUCAUGUUGCGGGGAUAUUUUUUUGUUUUGUCUUUUGUGACAUUGCUUUGUGAGCCAGUGGGGCCCACAACCCAUUCUCUCCCUCUCCCCUGUGUCCCCUAAUCUCUCGGCCCAUUCUCUCUUUCAACUCUCAUUUCUCUUUCUCUCCCUUUCAUCUCUCAUCUAUCAUCCCUCUCAUCUCUCUUUCCCUCAAACUAUCUCUCUCUUCGCUUUGUAAAAACAAUGGAAUCGAGUAGCACCACCACCACCUCGCCAUACUCGGGCGAACCUCACGACCAAACCAAUACCAUAUCAUCAUCAUCAACCUCGCGGAAGACCAACAAUCUUGUACCCAGUUUGCUCAGAACACCCAAGUGGAAAAAUGACACUACACAGUGACUUUUAUCACCGUUCAUUCAUUUCUCUAACCAUGUGAGCCUCGAGACCCUCAAAUCCUUUUUAGUCUGAAGCUCUUAUGUUAUUUUAACCUUAAAAAUGAGUUUGGGGGACGAUUUGAUGCAGAACAUGCAUUAAGAUGAUUUUUCCCUAGUUUUUCAGUGACUAACUAGCCACAUUUAGGCCAUUUUUUCGACCAACACCGAUGUUAACUUGGCCCCACUUUGGUAUGGUUUUGUUCCCUACGGGUGCGUUUGGUACGUGGGACGGGACGGGACGGAACGGGACGAGGCGUUCCGUCCCGCGUUUGGUGCGCCAAAAAUGGGUGGAACGGGCUGUUCCACGGGACAGAUUUUGGGUGUUUUUGCGUUCCACCUCCCCCCCUGGAACGGGUUUGUUCCACGUCUGUGGAACACAAUGUUUUACCAUUUUAAGACAAAUAUACCCCAUGUCUUUUUCAAAAAUUACACCUUCGUUCCGUCCCGUUCCGUCCCGUCCCGUCCCGUCCCGUCUGCGUACCAAACGCACCCUACAUUUCUAGCAUCACAUUGGUUUUUAAAUCAUUGAAUUUGGUUGAAAAUCAAGCUCAAAAUGAGCUCUGAAAGUCAACCCUGCAAUAUGCAAAAACUGCAAAUUUCGUGAAGAAGGGGCAUGAAGGUGCAUGGGCAGCCAUUGCGAGUGGCGCGUGCAGCGCGUGGCUGCCAGUGUAGCCAUCUUAUGGUGGCGUGUGAAGGAACUCGAAAUCUUUCCUUAAGUUUCUCGACGUGCUGAACCCAAAUUCGACCUCCAUUUUCUGAAAUUCGAUCGUUUUAAAAUAGUUCCUUUAUUAGCCGUACUUCGUACAGAAACGCGUUUAUACGUUAGUACGUUACAUAUUUACAUAAAUAGUUUCGUUUCUAGGCGAAACGCAUCGCAAGGACUCUUGAUGUCAUGAGGCGGGUUCAACUCAAUGACAUGAUUUGUGAGUGGGUCUUUGUUUUUUAAAAUAUUAUAUAUUUAUUUAGUUUCCAUUUAUAUAAUUGAUGAAGAAUUUUCUAAAAUGCACUUUGUUUAGACUAACGUUUUUAAAAAUUAACGUAUUGACGAAAUUUAUGAAAUUACCAUAAAUUCUACAGGACGCACGUUUAUGCAUAUUUUGACGUGAGGCCAUGAAUAUACCUACGGUCAACAAUAUUAUUAUUUUAUUGUGGUGAAUUACGAAGUUUCUAUAGUAUGAUUAUAUUUAUGUUACUACUCAUCAUGCAUGCUACACUGGUGUUUGUACUCGCUCGGGCCAAGGCCAGGCUUCACGUGUAUGUUCACAUCACACCAUAGGCUCACUUUAGAUCCAUUAUAGGUGUCAGUCCUGUCCUAAAUUGCUAUAGGAAAUUAGGACUCGUAUGUGAUGCGCAUAGCGCCAGUCUUCACGUGAUUAUAGUACUUCAAGUGAUUAUAGUACUAGAGCAUAAGUCAUUAUUACACCCAGUCAUGUUCAUGUCAAAAUACCUCUGCAUGAACUUAUGUGUCAGCAUACAUCGAUGAGCCCCUGUUAGUAUAUAUUUAUUUAUUUGAGAUAUGGGAUUACUGAGUGUUAUGUGUUUACUUACAAAGUAUUAUGAAGUAUUGCAUCCUUGACGAUUUUACUAUUUAUGGUAAGUAUUUUCAUACUAUAUAGUAUGUUAUAUUUGGAAACUAUACUUGUUUUACAGCAAGGGGUUAUUAUGUUUUCGAAAAUAUUUUUACAAAACUUUAUUUUUAAGCCCACUCACCUUUGUUUUUCGCCCAUCCAGGUUUUAGUAGUUGAGUUAUCGUAUUGACAAGGAUUUUUGGCAAAUCUUAGUAUUGGAGAUUACCUUCAAUGUUAUAACUCUCAUUCUACUUUUACUGUACUUUACUUAUACUCUGAUAUCAUGUGUGAAAUGGGUUUACUCCCUCUCACUAGCACACUCUUACAUUUAGGUACUCUGAGGUUUAAAUUUACUCACAUUUUUCACAUCAUUACACAUUAUGGCUUCGUCACCCUCUUUGUGUCAGCUAGCACAGCUCGAUUCGAAGUCCACAUGGACAUUCCUGAUUCGCGUGUGUCAAAUAAAAUUAUGACAUGUGAACACAUAAUAAUGUGUAAUGACAAUAUGAAAUGGUCCUUAUGCAAGUGUUUCGUUUCUUUAUGUUUCUUAUUAUGAUAUAAGUUUUUGAAUUAUUUCUUGUCCAUGUGUCAUUAUUUUAUUAGUGGUUAUAACUGAAAAAUAAGAAUUAAUGAUGAAAAGACUAAUUUGCCCUUGAAUUUGACGAAAUAGUGGACGGAAUCUACGACAAGGGAUUGGCUGAUUUUAAAUAGUUCAAAUGGUUAAUUUACCAAAAAAAAUAGUUCAAUAGGUCAAUUUCAACUAGUGUAAUAGUUUAGGAGGCCAAACCGUAGUUUACCCUAUAUUUUAAGUACAAAGAAACACUUAUUUAUAUGAAAUAUAAUAGAUUUACUUAAAUCUGUUUAGUCUGCCUAGGCGCUUGCAAAGGCCCUACCUAGCCGCCUAAGCGCUAGGCUCCAACCCGCCGCUCGAUUAGCACCUAACGUGUUUUAGAACCUUGUUAAAUAUUAAAACAAAAUAUAAUAUAUAUAUAUAUAUAUAUAUAUAUAUAUAUCUAACACCACGUUUUUAUUAAAUUUUAAUCUUCUUCAAGGGUUAAAGUUAAAAAAAAAAAAGACCUUGAAUUUAACAACAUGCAUAUGAAAGGUAAUAGCUAUAUUUUAAUCUAGCAGCUUGAGAAGAGAAGAAGAACCGGAGAAUCAAAGAAAUUAGAUAGAGAAACAAGUGAAAUAAGCAAUUUAGCUUAUUUUCAUUAGCAUUCUUACAUUUUCGUAACUGUUAAGCAACCGCAUUACUCACUUAUUACUCCCCUCAAUCUUAGCAUGGGUUUCAUGGUUAAGAUUGUAGCUAUGAUGAACAAACACUGGACUGUGAAAUUCUUGUCAAAAUAUCCACAACCUGUUAUAAAUAUGUAAAAGUUAGAAAGAUAACCUUUUAGUGAAUGGAGUGAAGCAGAGGUAAAAUAUCACACUGUAAUUAUAACUCAAGUGAAUGAUAAAUAAAAGAGGGAGAAAUUGAUGUUAUUAUUUCUCUUACUUUCUUUAUGUUUGCUACUAUCUUUUGAUUGCAGUUAAGUGCUCUAUUUAUAAAGCAACUCGUAUUACUACAUUUGAAAUUUACAACACCCUUUUUGACAAUAUGAUAUCCUGCAUCCCCCAAAGUCAGUUUUCAAUUUGUAUGGACAUUGAAAACUUCUACCAAUGCUGGAAAACUUCUACCAAUGCAAUGUGGGCAUUCAUUACCCACCAGCAUUUUCAACACUCCCCCUUGGAUGCCCACAUAUCAACAUCAGUUGCCUCAUUAAAACCUUGCUUGGAAAAACCCAAUGGGAAAAAAACCAUAGCGAAGGAAAAAGAGUACAACUUUACCUGAAUUGUUGGUAUAGUGUUAAGUAUGCUUAUGUUGCCUCAUUAAAACCUUGAUAGGAAAAACCCAGUGGGAAAAAUCCUAAUUGAAGGAAAAAGAGUACAACAUGCAUGUAUCAUGUAUACUCCCCCUGAUAUAUAUUUCCCCCUGAUUCUGCAUUCUCGAAAUUUAGUUGUUUGGUAAGUCGACGUAAUCCGAUACUUUGCAUUAACUUCUGAAACGUGCAUUUUGGUAGAGAUUUGGUGAACAACUCUGCCAAAUUUUCAUUAGAACGGAUUUGUCUUACUUCAAUAACUUUAGCCUUUUGGAGCUCAUGUGCACUGAAAAACUUGGGAGAUAUGUGUUUAGUCUUAUCGCCCUUAAUGAAUCCUUCCUUCAUUUGGGCAACAUAGGCUGCAUUAUCUUCAUGAGAUAGUUGAAGUGUCUGUCUUUGAAGUUAGACCACAUGAAUUCUUGAUAUGAUGGAUCAUUGAUCUUAACCAUGAACAUUCACGACUUGCUUCAUCUAAAGCAAGUAUUUCUAAAUGAUUUGAAGAUGUAGCAACUAAUGUUUGCUUUGUUGAGCACCAUGAGAUUGUUGUAUCUCCAUUCUUGAACAUAUAUCCAGUUUGUGAGUGGGCUUUAUGCGGAUCAGAGAGGAAACCAGCAUCUACAUAUCCAACAAAGACUUGGUCAUUUGUAGAGUUCUUUGAGUAGAAGAGACCCAUAUAUGUUGUCCCACAAAGGUAUCGCAAUAUAUCUUUGACACCCUUCUAAUAACGAAUUGUUAGAGUAGAGCUAUAUCUUGCUAACAAGUUGACUGAAAAAGUUAUAUCUGGUCUAGUACAUUGUGCUAAAUACAACAAAGCACCUAUUGCACUCAGAUAUGGUACUUCUAGACCAAGGACCAGUUCAUCAUCUUCUUUUGGACAGAAUGGAUCUUUCUUAACAUCCAAAGAAUGAAUGACCAUUGGUGUGCUGAGUGGAUAAGCCUUGUCCAUACCCAAUCGCUUCAGGAUUUUUUCAAUGUAAGAUGAUUGGUGGACCAAAAUUCCACUAGCACAAUGCUCAAUCUGCAGGUCGAGACAAAAUUUUGUUUUUCCAAGGUCUUUCAUUUCAAAUUCGUUUUUCUGAUAUUCAACAGUUUUAUAAAGCUCUUCAGGGGUUCCAACUAGGUUAAUAUCAUCAAUGUAUACUGCCACUAUAGCAAAUCCAGAAUUGGAUUUCUUAAGGAACACACAAGGGCAAAUGACAUUGUUGAUGUAUCCUUCUUUGAUCAAAUACUCACUGAGACGAUUAUACCACAUUCGUCCAGAUUGUUUCAGCUCAUACAAUGAUCGCCUUAAUUUGAUCGAAAGCAUACCUCGUGGUUUAUUAGUUAUUUCAGGCAACUUAAGUCCUUCUGAGACCUUCAUGUAUAUGUCAGUAUCUAAUUCUCCAUAUAGAUACGCAGUGAUGACAUCCAUAGGUUGCAUGUCAAGCUUUUUUGAAACCACUAAACUUAUUAAGUAACGGAACAUAAUUGCGUUACAGGAGAGUAUGUCUCCUCAUAAUCAAUUCCAGGUUUUGUGAAAAACCUUGAGCAACGAAUCGUGCUUUAUAUCUUGCAAUCUCGUUUUUCUCAUUGCGUUUCCUUAUGAAUACCCAUUUGUAACCCACAGGGUUUACACCAGGCGGGGUUUAGACUACUGGUCCAAAAACAUUUCGCCUUUCCAAGGAAUUUAAUCCUGCCUGGAUUGCAUUUUUCCACUUAGGCCAAUUUUGUCUCUGUUUACAUUCAUCAACAGAGCGGGGCUCAAUAUCAUCACUUAAUAUGAUUUCAGUGGCUACUGUGAAUGCCAACAUAUCGUCGAUGAUUAUUUCAUUAUGAUCCCACAGUUCAUAGUACAUGCAUAAUUUAUGGAGAUUUCUUUGCUCUCAUGUACUGCUGUCUCUUCAGGGACAUGUGUCUCAUCAUGGACAUUUUCUUCUUUUGGAAGUCUAGAAUCAUGAAUUGUAGAUUUGUCAUUCGUUCUCUCUUCCUGAAUGUUUUCAUUUGAAUUCAACUGUGCCCUUGUCUUUCUCUUUCAAGGGGUUGAAUCUUUUGAACCUGGUGGUUUACCACGCUUCAGGCAUGCACCAAAUGAAUCAUUCGCUACCAUUUUAUUUUGUCCAAUAGGGACAUCAAUUCUUGCAGGUGCAUUUGCAGCUAGUAUAUGUGAUUUUGUCACUUUCAUAGCAUCAUUAAAUGCAUCUGGCAUUUGAUUGGCAAUGCUUUGAAGAUGAACAAUCCUUUUUACUUCAUUUUCACAUUGAAUGCUUCAAGGAUUAAAAUGAGACAAUGUGGGAACAACCCAUGUCAGCUCUUUCCGUUCUUCUGGAAUGGUCUUUUCUCCCCCUAAUGACGGGAAUAUUGUCUCAUCAAAGUAACAAUAAACAAAAAGAGCUGUAAACAUAUUACCUCUCAGGGGUUUCAAAUAUCUGAUGAUAGAUGGUGAAUCAAAACCCACAUAAAUUCCCAGUCUAUGCUAAGGUCCCAUUUUAGUGCAUUGCAGGGGUGCAAUAGGCACAUAAACAGCACAACCAAAAACUCGUAAAUGUGAAAUGUUUGGCUGAUGUCCAAACACAAGUUGUAUUGGGAGUAUUAGUGGUUGGCUAUAGGUCUCAAUUGAACCAAUGAUGCAACAUAUAGGAUGACAUGUCCCCAUGUAGAAACUGGUAAUUGGUUUUCAUAAGCAAAGUGCAGGCUAUUAACUGAAGCCGCUUGAUCAAUGCUUCUGCUAAACCAUUUUGAGUAUGGACAUAAAGAACGGGGUGUUCAACAUCAAUGCCUAAUGUCAUGCAAUAAUCAUCAAAGGUUUGAGACAUAAAUUCACCAGCGUUAUCAAGUCGGAUUGACUUAAUGGGAUAAUUUGGGAACUGUGCUAAUAACUUAGUUAUCUGAGCAAGAAGUCUCGCAAAAGCUACAUUUCGAGUAAACAAGAGACAAACAUAUGACCAUUUGGUAGAUGCAUCAACCAAAACCAUAAAAUAUCGAAAUGGUCCACAAGAUGGUUAAAUAGGCCCACAAAUAUCCCCUUGAAUUCUUUGCAGAAAUGAUGGGGAUUCAGCAUCAACCUUUAGUUGUGAUGAUCUAAUUACCAACUUCCCUUGAGAACAAGCUUUGCAAGGGUUAUCAUUUGUGAUAGCAAUGUCCCUACUCAGUAAUGGAGAUCUAUUAGAGUUGGUAAUGAUCCUACGCAUCAUGGUGGAUCCUGGAUGACCUAGACAGUCAUGCCAAAACAUGUAAACUUUUGAAUCAAUGAACUUCUGGUUCAUGACAGUAUGUGAUUCAACUGUCUUAAUGUAUGUAUAAUACAAUCCACUCGACAAACCAUGCAACUUCUCCAAUAUACACUUCUGGGUAUCAUUGGAGAUAAUGCAUAGAAACUCCACAUUUUCUACACUUUUCGUUUCAAUUUGGUAUCCAUUUAAACGUAUGUCUUUGAAACUCAACAAAUUUUGAGUGGAUCGAGUAGCAUACAACGCAUUUUGUAUGGACAAUAUUGUUCCAUUUGGUAACAUAAUCUGGGUUUUCCCUGAGCCUUCAAUUACAUCUGAUUUGCCUGAUAUUAUUGUUACCCUUAUUCUUGUAAGCAUAAAGCUUAAGAAAUACUUUCGAUCACGAAGUAUUGUAUGCGUUGUUGCACAGUCUGCAAGACAGAUAUCUCCACCAUUUCUCAUGUUCUGAGAAUAACCAUAGUCUUUAUCCAUGCUCUCUGAAUAAAGGAAUCAGAGUUUUAAGCAAGUUAUAGCAGGAAAUUUACAUGUCACUUUUAUUGAAUCUGAAAUGCCAGUUUUAAACUACAAGUUCAGCAUAAUAAAAGUACAUCAAACAUAAAUGAUUCAGUCGAACCGAUACAUUUCAUUCCCCCUUUCCAUAAUGAAGUCUGAAACAUCUAGGUGAGUUGUGUUCAACUAUUCUAAUAAGUCACACACUUGAUCAGGUAUAACCCUUGGGUUAGCCUGGUCGAGAAAAUUGGUUUCGACACCCUUCUCCUUGAGGGAAGCUUGAUACAUAUCCACCAGAUGUUUUGGGGUACGACAAGUACGCGCCUAAUGCCCAUUGCCACCACACCUAUGGUAGGCUCCUUCAUAGUUCCUGGGAGCUUUGUUCAUGUGAGCUUUGCCUUUGUGGCGAUUCAUAUGUUUGAAGCUCAGGUCUGAAUUAUGCCUUGGAACCUGGUUGUAAGACUGACCACCAUGGUUCAUGCCUUUCCUGUUCCACCGACCUCGCUUGUGGCCACAUCCUCGUUUAUGAUUAUCGCCACCAGAGGAUGUGGCGUUCACUUCGAGAGAAGCAGCAUUCACUUCUGGGAAUGGUACAAAUCCAGUAGGUCGGGAAUGAUGUUUUUCAUCAGGAGCUCAUUAUUGUGUUCAGCUACCAGAAGCACAGAUAUCAGCUAGUUGUAUUCUGUGAAGCCUCGCGCUCUAUACUGCUGUUGCAGGAGCACAUUAGAGGCAUAAAAUGUGCUGAAAGUCUUUUCCAGCAACAUUUCCUUAGUAAUAGUAUCCCCACAGAGCUUCAUCUGAGAGGUAAUUCUGAACAACGCAGAAUUGUACUCAACCACUGACUUGAAAUCCUGGAUCCUUAGGUGAGUCCAUUCAUAGCAAGCUCUUGUAAGAAUCACUGUUGUUUGGUGAUUGUAUUUGCUUCUCAAGGCCUGCCGGAGAGCUAACGGAUCUUCAACCGUUAAGUACUCACUCUUUAGUCCCUCAUCAAGAUGGCGACAAAUAAAGAUCAUGGUCUUCGCCCGCUCUUGAGAAGAUGAGUUGUUCUCUUCCUUGAUGGUAUCUCCAAGAUUCCCUACUUCCAGAUGGAUCUUGGUAUCCAGUACCCAGGUAAGGUAAUUGUUCCCGGUAAUGUCCAGGGCAACAUAAUCAAGCUUCGGCAAGUUCACAAUUUUCUUUUCUGAAAGAAAAUGAGAUGUGUAAGAACUUGCAAUAAUAUGUAUUCUUGGAGGAAUAUAAUGUUAGAACUUCUGGUUCUUACAAAUUUUUCAUUUUGAUCUUCAGGCCAAAAUGAUAAGCACUCGAAACUUCUGACUCGAGAUUUUCAGGAUGAAUGAGGAGGGUGAUUGUACCACACCAUUCUCAUUGAAAUAAUGUAACAUAGAAUGGGCGAUUAUUCUGCACCACUCAAGUAGCAGGAAAAUUUAAAUACGCAUAAUAGUAUGGGCGAUUAUACCGCACCACCUAAAAUUGCAAUGAAAUUAAACAGCAGGCAAAUUAAAUAUGCAGGGUAGGGCGAGCGAUUAUAUCGCUCCACCAAAAAAUUGCAAUAAAAUUAAAUCUGUAGUCCAAGAUAAGCGAUGAUACCGCACCAUCUUGGAUCGCAGUAAGAUGAAAUUUGCAAUUCAAGAUGGGCGAUUGUACCACACCAUCUUGGAUUGCAGUAAAAAUAAAUAUUGGGUUAGUAAUCAAUAUUUGUACCAAACAAGAAAUUAAAGAUGUAUGUAACCGUUAGGUUGAGAACUAGAAGCAAGCAUGGAGCAGACAGUUCGUCGCGAGGUUAUAUCGCGCAGUUGAGGCAGAGGAAGAAGAUGAACAGUAAUAACCUUAGAGGAAAAAAAUUUUCUUUCGUUCGGCGAAGAUAAAUGAUUUUCAUUCGACGAGGAAUGAGAAAUAGUUAUAUUUAUAACGUUAUCAGCACGAGUCUCUAAAUAUAACUAUUUCUCAUUCCUCUUCGGCGAAUGAAAAUCAUUUCUCUUCACCGAACGAAAGAAAAAAUGUUUCCUCUAAGGUUUUUACUGUUCAUCUUCUUCCUCUGCCUCAACUGCGCGAUAUACCCUCGCGACGAACUAUUUGCUCCAUGCCUAUUUCUAGUUCUCAACCUAACUGUUACAUACAUCUUUGAUUUCUUGUUUGGUAUAUAUAUUAAUUACUAACCCAGUAUUUUUUUUUUUUUAAAAAAAAAAGAAAGAGGGAGGAAUGGAUGUUGUUAUUGCUCUUACUUUCUUUCUGUUUGCUACUAUCUUUUGAUUGCAGUCGAGUGCUCUAUUUACAGAGCAACCCGUAUUACUACAUUUGAAAUUUACAACACUCUUUUUGACAAUUUGAUAUCCUGCAUCCUCCAAAGUCAGUUUUCAAUUUGUACGGACAUUGAAAGCUUCUAUCAAUGCUAGAAAACUUCUACCAAUGCACUGUGGGCAUUCAUUACCCACCGGCAUUUUCAACACAACCUACUCUUUUGUAUGGUAAUAUAGUUAUAAAAAGAUCAACUUUUUGGACUUUUUAUCUAACAAAGUAAUCAUUUAGAGCAGGAGAUUGUCACAACGAUAGAUAGGAGGACAUAGGAGGAGAAUGAAUGAAUACAUGCAAAUCUUUCAAAAUUGCUCUUAUCCAACAUACAUCUACAACACAGUGAGUUAAUGCCUUGUAUUCUACUUCAGUAGAACUCCUACAGAUAAUUGCUUUUUGGAUUGUCAACAAAAAAUCACAUAAACUUGUAGCAAAUCUUCAUUGGUUAAUGUCAGCAACCCAAUCAGAGUCUAAAUAUGCUGAAGUGGUAUUAUCAAAUGAGGAUUUAUAAGUCAAUCCAUAUUCUAUAAUGUUUCCAAAGAUAUCUCAAGAUUCUAUUAACUGGAAAGAAGUGUGCAUUUGUAGGUUGAUAAAUAUGUUGACAAGGGGUGACAUAUCAGGUCUUAUAAAUGUUAGAUAUUGAAGGGCACCCACAAAAUUUCUGUAAACUUAGAUCCAAGAGGAGUUCAUUCUGAAACAAGCAAUUGAGUAUGUGGUUUAGAUGAAGUUGGGUGCAUGUUUACAGUUCUUCAUUCCAGCCUUCUUAAGCAACUCUCUUGCAUAUUUUGUUUAGCUAACAAACAGAUGACCAUUGUCUUUGUAUUCAAUUUGAAGACCAAGGAAGUUUGUCAACUGGCCCAUAUCCUUUAAUUUUAAAUCAAACAAUUCUCCAAGGUUCAUGAUUAUUGAUUGAACUAAUAUCAGCUGUUGAUGAAGUUUCAGAAAAGAACAGGGUCGGUUGCUUUUUAAUUAUAUCAGCUCAAGUAAUUUUGAUACAUGGCAAUCCAAUGGCUUGUAGAAGCUCUGAUAGCAUAUUAACUACAUUGUAAAAGAUAAAGAAUUGGUAAAGACGAAGAGGAAGAUGAUAGAGAGAAGCAAGAGAGAUUGUAUUGAUUAGAGAAAAUGUAUACAACCAAACUGAAGGAAAUGAUAGCUAUACAAUCCCUUAUAUAGCUAUGUAUCCAAACUACAACAAUAUCGUUCUAACAAACUCAACCACUAGAAUAAUGUCAUGUGGCAUUUCUGUUAUAUCAGUUAUUAAUAAGCCACAUAAUAAGAGAUCUAAUCUAGGAUAAAUUUUUCAUUGUAAUCAGAACACGGGUGGUAUACUAUGUGUUUUUAUAUAAGUGAUGGAAAAUUUUAUUUUUUAAGUUAUUAACUUUUUAACACAUAUAUCUCACCAUUUGUACAAUGAAACAUGGUGUACCAUCCAAUGUGACGGUUACACUAAAAAUUCUCUCCUAAUCCACAUCUUACAUCUGUCCUAUUAGACUAAAGUUGAACUUUGAUUUACAGCUCAACAAUUCAAAUACAAUGGACCCAAAACAAAACAAUUCAAAUACAAAAAAUACUUAGAAACUAAGCAAGCACUCAACAAUCUAUCAAUCAACCAACACUUCUAUCCGUUCACGUUUCUAAGCACCUAGAUUGAUAAAAUCGACCUAACCGCCCAUCCAUUGGUCCAAACUACCAGUCUCUAAUCUUCUGACUGUACAUUUUCUACACCCUUCUAUCACCUCAUUUAUAAGUAAGUUUUGUGAUGCCAACUCCGAACUGAAACAUACCUUAUCAGUUGUCUCACUACAACCAAUUCCUCACCACAUAGGGCGUGUAAGAAUGCCUCACCAUCAUCCACCAGGACAACCACCGCCUCCUGAUCCUUUUGCUCCUCCACCACCAGGACCACCUCCUCCUGAUCCUUUUGCUCCUCCACCACCAGGUCCGCCACCACCAAGACCACCGCCUCCUGAUCCUUUUGCUCCUCCACCACCACCGGGACCUCGUUCUCCACCUCCACCAGGGCCUCCUCCACAGCCAGGGCCACAUGGUCCUCCCCCGCCACCUUAAUAUCAUCUCACAGGCUCACCUCAAACAGUAUACUAGUUACAGUAUUAUUAGCAUUAUGUAUAAGAAAUAAAGUGCAUGUGUCCAUGUAAGCUUCACGAAUUAUCUAUAUGUACACACAGUAGGAUUAAUGCCUACCUUAUUUAAUUAAUUUAAAGGGUUAAUUGCACUUUACACUCCAAGGCUUUGGAGGUCAUUUGCACAAUAAGCCACUAAAUUUCAAUUUUUGCAUUUUACACCAUGUGAUUUCUUUAGGGGUGUAACAUCUACACACUCCUUUUUACUUCUCCCACAGCUUUUUAGUUUUCGGUCGUCGGAUCGGAUGAAUUGAAGAAGAUCAACGGAUAUAAAUUAACAAGGUGUAUGAGAAGUAAAAAGGAGUGUGUGGAUUGCACACCCCUUUCUGUAUUACACUAAUUUAACCUCUUUAUCAAUUUUACUAUCUAAUUAAACGUUAGGUGUUGAUGUGGCAUAGACUUUCCCCACAUUUUAAGGACUCAUUGACCAUCAAUUUCAGUGUGUAGUACUUUACUCUUCUAUUGUUUCAAUUCUUUUAUAAAACUAAGAGUCAACAAGUCUUUAAAAUGUGAGCCCAAUAUAUACCACAUCAACUCAUAACGCCUAACUAGAAUCUGAUUUCUUUAUGAUUACCAUUCUAAUCCGAAAGCAAAUACUACAAUUAACACAAAACGAAAAUAACGGGUUUCACAUCAGCAAGAUAACUAAUCGGGUUGUUAUCUGAUCAUCCGUUAAGACCCGUUAUUAAUGGGUUCUUAACUGUUUCCACGCAGGUAACCCGUAUUCACCUCUUAAGAAAAAAGUUAGUUUGAUAAUUUUAAACUACUGAAAAAACCUUACUAGCUACUACAAUAGCUAUAGUACUAAAUCUCACAUGAGUAAGAUUAAAAAUUUCCAAUACACGUUAAAAAUACCAAAGCACAUUAAAAAUUUCAUCAAAAUUCAUUUACAAGUGUGCAAAAUGUGAAAAACAAAAAAAACAAAAAAAUCUGCAAACGCUUGUAAUCGCAUCAUGGUCAUUUGAUUUUUUCAAAACCCUACAAGCCCUCAUGAAUAGUGUUUUAAGUGAGUUCAAAAUAAAUAAAAAUUCAUAAUAAUUAAUGUAGAAGUUGAAAAACUGUGAAAAAAAUAUAUAAACACUUGUGCUUGCAUCAUCUACACUUUGACAAUGGUUGCAUCAUCAUUUAGAUUAUUAAAACCCUCAUGAAAUAAUUUUUUUUUUUGUUUGAGUGCAAAAAUAGUAAUGACAAGCUUUACAAUUUUCGUGAAGGAGUUAACUGUAAUACCCCGUAUUUAAAAAAAAAUUGGUUAUAUAUGUGUGUGUGUGUGUGUGUGUGUGUGGGUAAUUAUUUUUACGUAAUGAUUUUAUUAGAUUUAUUUUAUGCAAGAACCUACUGUCGAUAUGUGAAAUAGUUUCAAUGUAAAAUCCUUUUUGCUACAAAUUAUUUCAAAAACUAGCUUUCAUGUUCAUAUGUAAUUAGAGAUUUUUUAGUUUGAAUUGGAGAAGGGAAAUUAAAUGAGUUUGGUUUGAUUUUCCUCACAAAGGGCCAAGAGUUUGAGGUUGGAAUAAGUGAGUCAUUUUGUCUUGAUAUUUUCUCUCAAAGAUGAGGUGGAGAGCUUCUAACAUUAAGUGUUAAUGUUUUGGUGAUUACUCACCAUUCUAAAUGUGAAGGUGGAAGUCUACUUAAGGGUGAGUUGGCAAGUUUGUAUUCAUUAGGAAUCUAAGAGUUAAAUGUUUGGUAAUGAUUCAUCCCUCCAAAAUUGGAGAGGUGGGAUUCAUAUCCCUUAGACUUUGGACGUGGCUUUUGAGUGUUUGUUCACCUUGCAUGAUAUUAAUUAGCUUCACAUUUGUUGUUUUUUCCAUUGGACCACAUUUCAUUGCUAAGGAUUAGGACAACAUUUGUUGCCUUGUGAUUAGAACACAUUUCAUGGUGAUGAUUAGGUUAACAAUUGGUGUGUUUCUAUUAGAACACAUUUUAAGUUUAAUGAUUGGCACAACACUUGCUUUCUUUCUAUUGGCACACAUGUGAAGAUUCUUUGGAGAGGAAGAUGUCAUGCAAUCUCUAUAAAGGAAUGAGCACUCACCAAACGGAUGACAUGGAGAAAAAAGAGAGAGGAAGGAGAAGAAGAAAAAAGAAAAAGAAAGAACCACUUCAACAAGAAAACAAUUCUCCCCUUCCUAUUACCUUCUUAUAUUUAUUUAAAACGUUCUUAGGGCUUUAAGCCAUCUUUCAUUGUAUUUGUAAGUCCCUCAUAUGUAUAGUGAAAUACAAUGAAAUCAAACCCCAGUGGAUUUAGUCGAUUUGGCGAACCACUUAAAUCUUGUGUUGUUUAUGCAUUUACAUUUGGAGAUCAUUGCCAUGAGAAGCACUUCCACCAAACUAUCGCCAAUCUCUAUUUAUCUCCCUUGAGGAUGAUGUACAAAAAGUGUGAGACAAAUCCCAGAGAAAUACAUGAGACCUUACCCAACAAAUCUCCACCAAACUCCAUCUAUCAAAAGAAAGAUAUCCAAAAACUAGAAAUUCGUCCGGCCUAUGUAGUAGACCAAAACACCAUCAUCCAUAGAUUAUAUCAUAGUACUUCCUUCAUGAGAGUUGUUCGUCUGUCUCUCUACCAUGAUAUCCAAAUUUUAGAAAAAUCCAACGGUGCGAUCGUCCAAUAUGUUUGAAAUACCAACUCAUGUCUCUAAUCCCGCAGAAAAUUGGACAGCCAUGUUAUGAGCACUAAAAUUCCAUUUUGAAGAGCUCCGAUCAAAAUACUUCCUUCACAAAAGCUGUUCCUUAUCAUCUCAUCUAUAACAUAUCUAAAAACCACGAUAAUCCAAUCUAUGUGCUGACUUGUAUCCCAGUUUGAACAGCUGAUGUUCAGUUGAGCUAGCCUUCUUUGCCAACCUUUUUGCAUGGCCAACAUCUCUAGUUUCUUUUGCUCACUUUCAUGAAAGUUUUUCAGCAAUCUAACUCCUAAUACAUAUGUAGAGUUUCAACUAUAUUAAAGAAGAGGAAGGGGAAGUGGUGAAGGAAGAAAGAGAGCAAGAGAGAGGAAAUGAAAUUGAAACAAUAAAAAAAUGAGGAAAUGGUAACAUAUUGCUUAUCAUUUACAUUAAAGAUUAAUUUGUUAAUAUUAUGAUUAUACUACUCUUGUCACUAAUCAAUUUGAUUUAUAUUGAAGCUUAUAGGCUUGUUAAAGAAAAUGUGAGUAUUGAUAUCUAUGUGAACAUGACAUAUACAUAUGCAUUCCAAAGCAAGAAAAAGAGUUGUGUUGAGUUUGUAAAGUGUUUGCGUUGUGAGGAUAUUCAAGGGCUGAAGCUUUCCUUGAAUAUAAAAUAAUGAACCUUGUCUAUGUCAGGCAUAGGGUGCAGGGCUUAAGUAUACAAAUUGGUUGAUUAUAAAAAUAAUGAAAUCUUGUAUAUGUCAGGCGUAGGGUGCAAGGCUUGAAUAUACAAUUGGGCGUCGAAGGAAGUGCCCGUAUAAUAAAGUGGAAACUGAGAGUUUAAUUACAAAAACUGGGUGUAAGGGACGAAUGGGAGUUAACUCAUAUUCUAACGUACUCAGAGCCAAAUGGUAUAAGCAUGGUAAGGGACAUGCAGGCUUGGGUGCCUUAGGUAUGUGUUGACGGGAUUACAAGGGAGUGAGUACAUUCAUGCAUCUCAUUGCAUACCUUUUAUGUUUUUGCAAGAGCUACUCAUUUCAAUUAUUAUUUUAGUUGGUACUUUUGUAUAUUAAUAUUUUAUUUCCGCUACGUAUGUCAUAAAUUUUAUGUAAGAUUUUGUUAUCUAAUGUAUGUAAAAUCGUUAUAAUUUCAUUUUAGUUUCCACCAUACCUUGGUUGUAGAAUUUAUUUCUAUAACUAAGAUAUGGCUCACACCCUAACUCGUGAAUAGUCUUUAUUCGCGGGUUGGGGCGUGACAUUAACUCCGAAAUCCAACACCAUAAUCCAUAAACCCUAGAUUUAUAUUUUAACUGUUGAUUGUGAUUUAUGCUCUAUUCUUUUCACCCUAUUUCAUUUUUCAAUUUUUCUUUUUUGAAAACAUGAUUUAGCGGAUGCAAAAAAAUGAACUGUUUGGAUUGUUAUUAUUACAUAAACACAGAAAAUACGACACAAAUGACGGAUCUACAAUUAAUCAUCGUGAUGACAUGUCAACUUUACUAAGUACGUACACGUGUGAAAAAAUCUAGGGGUGGGCGCGGGUUGGUCAAAAUUGCAAACCAAAACCGACCAAGCUAGGACUAAAACCGAUCAAAUAACCAAAUGUGGCGGGUUGGUUUGAAUUGGUUCUCGGUUUCUAUGAAGACAAAAAUACAUAAUAAACUUCUCUUCCAAAAGCUACAUAACAUAGCACCUCAGUGAUUACUUAAGGGAAAACACAAAUUAAGCAACCCAAUAAUAGCACCAAGGCAACAACUAAGCUUUUCCAGCGAUUGAUACCAUGUAAAGCAACAAAGAUUGUUGCAAUAAUGUAUAACUAUGAGAGAUUUUAGAGAGAGAAAGUAGUAGACUUGAGGAAGAAGAAAGAAUCUUGUAUUAAGAUAAUGAUCUUACAGAGAGUACAUUUAGCUAUAUAUUGUAAUGCCUUAUAGACUAAGCUCUCCAAAUGGUGUCCAUGUUCUUCUCGAAAGGGACUCUUAAACUAAUCAGGUUUUGUUUUCAUGUGGUGGAAACAUGGUAACUCGUAAAUAACUAACCAUUUAUAUUAUCACACGUAUUAAUUAUGAUUAAAAAAUAAAAUUAAUAUAUGCGGGUCGGUUUGGUUAACUGCAGCCUAAGAAUUUUGAGAACCAAUUGCCAAACCGAUUAAGGUCGGUGCGGUUUGGUUUAACCACCGAAAAUUAAAAAAAAAAACAAACCAAACCGUCAAUGCUGUUUGGGCGGUCAAUCGAUUGUUUUACUAUUUUUUAUUAAAUGCCCAGCCCUAGAAAAAUCUAAGUGAAAGGAACAAUGAAACAAGAAAUUUUUACGGGUGGCGGGAACACACACCUCAGCAGUGCAGGUGGUGUUUCCUUCCAAUCCAAUAACGCCAUCUACCCCACUAAAGGUAAAUUGUUUUAUCUUUUAUAGAAUAAUCAAUAAGUGAAUUUUUUAUUUUUUAAAAAAAUAACUCAAGGCCCUUCCCCAACCUUCUAAUCAUUCCCCUCCAAUUCCUCUCAGCCCCCGACAUCCACCAUCACCGCCCGGUGUUUUGGCCCACCGUAUCGUCGUCCCCUUAUCAUCCCACCUUUCUCCUGAUGAUCAAGAACCGGCGUCUUCAAAUCAUGAUGAAGAAGCAACAUGAUAGAAGAAGAUGAUGGUGUCAAAUUGAGAUUUUAGUUGUGUGAUGGAGGCUGGAGCUUUCAUGGGUGUUCAUGGUGGUGGGCGUGACGUGGUUGUCAAGUGGAGGGCAGAAAUUUUGGUUCAGGUGCUGGUGACCCUUUAGUCGGAAAGAGAUGGAAGAGAGGAAGGCACCGGUACUAUGUUAAUUAAAUAUUAAGUUUUUUAAUGGGAACUUUAACGAAAAGCACCCGGUACUGUUCACUUUAACGAAAAACCACAUUUUUACAUUAAAAAGUCAAUCCUGGUACUAUUCACUUUACCCUUUAUUUUGUCCUUAUCAUUAAAACUCAAAGUUUUCAAGCCCUUUUCAUUAGUUUUCCUUUUUUUAAUUGCUUUAAAGGUGGGCUAGACUAUUGGUGUAAAUUUCAUCUUAAAUUCACAAAUAUCAAGACCUGAUUGGUGAAACUCCAAGUCAGCAAGAGUUCCCGUCACCCGUAAAAAUUUCUCCAAUGGAACAUAACCGAAACGCGUUUUCUGGCUACCAGUCUUCCAACUACCAGUCUUAUAUGCCUGUCUAGAAACUUCUUUGUAGCGAAUUAACAAACCGACUGUAUAUCUUUAUAAAACUGUCCAUUUCUCUCUAGUCAAUUAUCUUCGCUUGAUUUUACCAAAAAAAAAAAAAAAUUAUCUUCGCUUGCAACCAAAAUUUCAAGAGAAAAUGGCAUUCCGUAGGGAUCCGCCAGGACCACCACCACCCGACCCAUUUGCACCACCACCUCCCCCUCCUCCUCCUCCUCAUCAUGGGCAUCCACCAGGUCCACCACCUCCACCGCCGCCUCGGGAAUUCUUUCCUCCACCUCCACCUCCCCAUCUGGAAUUCCAUCCUCCACCCCCACCACCAAUCCACCACCACCCACCUGGUCCUCCACCCCCACCGUAUUACCCACCAGGCCCUCCGCCAC